GCAAUAAUUGUCCAUCUCACCUGCCUGUGGCAGUACUCAAUUGGAACUCAAUUGGAAGGUCUGUUGUUUUGCAGGCAACCUUGUUCCAUCAUUUAUCUUAAAGGUGCAUAAGAAUACACGAUGCCUCUUGAUAUGAUUGAAUGACAGGUCAGAGCCAACUUCUUUCAUACUCUCUUUUGUUAUACUUGUCAAAGGAGGCCGUGAUGAUUGCCACUGGGGAAUGCACCUCAGCUUCUUUAGUCCUUGCUUUUGAUUUUUCGUUGGAGUGCAGAAGCUGACCAAAAUACUAGGUAUAAGAGAGUCAACUCAAACCUGAGACCUUGGUUGGGUUUUGACAGUUCAGGUGGGAUUUGAAUCUGGUUUUUUUUGGUUAUUUUGGUUCUUUUACACCCCUUGAGACGCCUUUGCAUGGUUCAUUUGUUGGAUAGACAGCAUCUCAGUGGAUGGCUUUUGGCUGACAUGAUCACCUGGUGCAGGCUAUAAUUUUUCCUUUCUCAGCAGCUCAUAUGUGACCAACAUUAGGUACCUGUAGCAGGACUUAAAUUGGAAGGUCCACUGUCUUGGAUGCAACCUUUUGCUGUCGUGUCUUUAAGGUGCAGAAAAUUACAAGAUCCCUUGCGAGAUGAUUAAGCGGCAUAUCUGAGCCUCCGUUUUCUUCUCCUACUUUCUUUUUAGCUAUUAGGAUUUGGUGCUACAUUCUUUAUUUUUCCUUUUUUUUCUUUUCCUCCUCUGACCUUCUUACUGCAUGUAGAACCUAGGUGGGUUGUUUUCAAAUAUUCCUUAUCUACUUCCUGAAACAUGACACCAUACUUCAUGCUGGUUGAUGCUAAAUCAUUUAUCCUGUAUGUCUUCAGAUUUGAGGCAACGUGUUAGUCUUUCAGAUUUUGAAAAGAACUAAAAACGGAAUAAAGAUUCGGAUGUUUGGCAUAUAUAUCUGUAUACUUGUAUGCUGAUUCAAAUGUGGGUAUCCAACAUACAUGUGUAUCUACUUUUCCAUCUCUCUUCUUGAUGCCUUGUUGUUGAUGCUGCUGCUGCUGUUGUUAUUAUUAUUAUUAUUUUUGUUAUUAUUAUGGUCGCAGUGGUGGUGGUGGAGGUGGGUGGAGUCUAUCGUCUCUCCACCCCUUCCUAGGGAACCCACGAAACUUUUCUUUUCGGGGUUGACCAAGCCUUCAUUCUUGGUUCUGGUUAUAUACAUACAUACAAACAUUUUGUAUAUAGAGGAAAAAAGAAAAAGAAAGGAAAAAAAAAGCAACAAUAACAACGAUACCAAAUGAAGCCUUAAGGUUUCAGUAGUAGGUGCAUGGCAUGGUUAUUUUGGAAGGUUCUGCUUUUCUGAGAGCAACCAAUUUUCCAUGUGUUGUCUUGCUUAGACUUGCCGAAAUGGCUGAGAACAAACAAAUUGAAGCUUUCGCUGGGUAUCUUGGGAUGUCAUCAACCAUAAUACUGCUAUGGUAGUGAGACAUCACCAUUUACUCGACCAAAUUGGCCUGCGAGACGAUUGCAACAAUCAAGAAAGUUCAAGCCAGAAAUUGCCAGUAUUAUAUUUUUGAGGACCAAAUUGUCAUCUGCCUCAUAGUUUGAGCACCAAAAGUGUAAUUUAGCCUUAUUUUGUCUAACAAACCACAGACACAAAACAGGCAAUAAUUUUCCUAUUUCACCUAUGUAAUACACUGGAUCUUAGCAAAUUGCAAGAUUCGAGUGUUUGAUCUGUGUGUGGAGCCUUUCCACAGUUUUUGGAGGGUCGUUGAUAGUGUUCCGACCCCUGGCACGCACCCCGAGGAUGUUGGUUUGAGACUUGGCACCAAAAUUUCAAAAUUGAAAUUUUUAGUCAGCUCUCGGAUAGCCUGCAGCAGAGCUUGUACCGGAACAAGAUUGGUCUUGUACCGGUACAAGGUUGAUGGUUGUACCGGUACAGCCAUCGGGCUUGUACCGGUACAGAGCCGCAGACUCCGCAACCCGAGCCUCGGGUUUGCAUUUUCGCAGGGCUUGUACCGGUACAAGGGCCCGUGUACCGGUACAAGGUGGCUGAUUGUGUGCAGUUUGAUACUGCAGGGGGUUUUUCGCGAUUGUAGCCUAUCUAUAUCAGCCCCCACGCCUUUAGGGACUCUCCCUGAGCUGAGACCAGCAGGAGUUGAGGUAGGAGGAACUCUCUUCUUUCCUUUGCAUUUUUACUCCUUUUGCUUGGUUUUUAUUGGAUUUUCUCUCCUCUAUUUGCAUCUUGGUGGCUUCUCCACCAUUGUUGAUGGCUUAAAGCUUGGAGAGGAGCUAGUGGCCGCGGAGAUCUUCAACGUCACUUGGAUUGGAGCUAAGUUUGGAACUUCUUGAGAGGUCAGAGACUUGAUUUCUCCCUUUGAUCCUUGAUUUGAGGUUUUUGUGAGAUCAAACCCUAGAAAUGAAAAUUUAGGGUUUAUUUGGGCAUUUUCGUUUUAGGGCUUUUGAGGCUCAAUCUCUUGGAUUAGAGCCUUCCUCUAGGGUAGAUUGGAGGGGUUCUAACUCUCAUUUGGAGCUUGAGAGGAGAUCUUUGCAUUUGAGGUGAGUUUUCCUCACCUAUGCUUGCAUAGCUUAUAGAUUGAGCUUAGCAUCAUUCGUUUCAUUUAGGUGACACUUGUUUUCAUACCUCUAGGAUACUAGGAGGUUAGAGGACACCUUCGUCGGAGCAAACGAAGGGCUUCGUUUACCGUUGGUGGUUUUGACUUCAUGAAAACGGGGCGAAAUGGCCCCUAUGCCUCCUAAACUCUUCGUAAAGUAUUUUUAAAUUCAUUUCUAUGCUAAAUAGAAUUUAUAUGAAUUUUUGAGCACUUAAAAUGCAUGCCUUGUGUAUUAUGAAGAAUUUCACUAUAUAGUAGAGCUAUAUGAGUAGAAUGCAUGCAUACGGGAAAAGUGUUUAUUUUGCAAGUGGAAAAUACAUCUCUUAUGAGGAGUAUGACUUGGGACAUGUACUUUGGAACAUAGUUGCCAUGCUUGGACAUAGAGAACAAGAGUGUCAUCAAGGGGCACUUGAAACUAGUAAACUAUUAAAUUGCAAUAUAGAGACAUAUUGAUAGGCCACUACAUAUCUGCUAUAUUCCAUGUUAGAGACAUGAUGACAUAGAGAUAGGCCACUGAGAUACUUGAUAUAUAUUCCAUGUUGNUUUAGCCUUAUUUUGUCUAACAAACCACAGAACAGGCAAUAAUUUUCCUAUUUCACCUACCUGUGGCAGCACUCAAUUGGAACUCAAUUGGAUGGUCUGCUGUUUUGCAGGCAACCUUGUUCCAUCAUUUAUCUUAAAGGUGCAUAAGAAUACAUGAUGCCUGGAUAUGAUCGGAUGGCAGGUCAGAGCCUCUCUUUCCUUGUGCUUUCCUUUCAGCUAUUAAUAUUUCUCAUGCUGACUGUUCAUAUGUCCUCAUUCUGACCGUAUACUUCAAUCAGACCGGCGCUUAAUGUUUCAUUCAAUCUUAAGGAAGUGUUUCUCCUUCAUUUUACUUGUCAAAGGAGGCUGUGAUGAUUGCCAGUUGGGAAUGCACCUCAACUUCUUUUAUCCUCUCUAUUGAUUCUCGGUGGUGUAAAAGCUGAUCGAAAUACGGGAUAUAGGAGGCAAUAUAGUUAGCUCAAUCCUUAGAUCUUGGUUGUGUUUUGAUAAUUCGGGUGGGAUUUGAAUCCAGUUUGUUGGUUAGUUUUGUCAUUUUGCUUCCCUUGAGAGCCUUUCGCUUCGUUAAUUCGUGGGAUAGACAGCAUCUCAGUGGGUGGCUUUUGGCUGACAUGAUUCACCGGGUGCAGGCAAUAAUUAUUCCUUUCUCAGCAGCUCAUCAGGCCAACAGUAGCUCCUGUAGCAGUAGUUAAAUUGGAAGGUCUGCUGUCUUGCAGGCAACCUUAUGCUGUUCAUAUCUUUAAGGUGCAUAAGAUUACGAGAUCCCGAUCCCUCAUGAGGUGAUUGAAUGGCAAAUCCGAGCCUCCAUUUUAUUCUCCUAGUUCCUUCUUAGUUAUUAAGAUUUAGUGGUACAGUAAUUUUUUUGUAGCUAUUAAUAUUUAAUGGUACACAAUUUUUCUGUUUUAUCUUUAAUUUCUCAUCCUCUGGCUUUCUUACUGCAUGUAGAAUCUAGGAUGGGUUGUUUCAAACAUUCAUUAUCAAUCCCCUGAAACCCUACUUCGUGCUGGUAGAUGAUGACUAGAUAGAAGUUUGGGGGGUCUAUUUCAAAAUGGUCUAUAGUUGAGGGGAUCUUUAUCCUAUUUAUCCUCUCAAUAUAUCUGAUGGUGAAAAGGUGUUGAUAGUCCCUGUCGUGUCCCAAUACUGUCCCAAUAUUGUGACUUAGUCCUUGAACCUUUUCAAUAACACUCCUCUCUUUCAUCUUUCUUAUAUUCUUGGAAUUUCAUCUCUCCCAUCUCUUUGGUUCAUAUGUUGCAGGCAAAAUCUCUCAUUAGAACUCUGCAUUGUAAUUUAAUUACUAGAGAGGAUUGGCAGGCGCGUGAUCAGUAAUUAGAGGCAGCUCUGGAUGGUCUGCUGUUCUGCAGGCAACCUAGCUUGUACCCAUUUAUCCGGUCAUGGCUGGGGUGGAGGAGGUGGUGGUAGUGAUAAGGAUUGGAUGUAUGUGGGUUCAUAUGAUCCUCUUCUCUGAUUAGGGUAUCACCAUUGCUAUCUUCGCGGCACUCACUUAUUCUCUUGAUCAAAGUUCCUGUAAAGGAUAUCCUUCGUCAUUUACUUCUAUUUCGCAAUUCCUGUUCCUUGAUGUGUUUCGGUAUUUGUGGAAGUUUCUGUUGAUCAUCUUCAAGAGAUGCAGAAUAACCACUUUUGUGGAGUAAAGCUUCUCUCCGCGGUCUUCUGAGAUGUAUACCCAUGAAAUUUUGUGCCUCAGGGUUGAUGAAUGGCUAAAAAUCAAGCUUUUUGAUUUUGAUUGUGCAUUCUUCAUAUGGGUUUAAUUGGUCAGUUAGCUUGGUCCAUUGACACCUCUAAUCUGAGCCAUGCUUCAUUAAUUCAUGGGAUGGAUGACAUUGCCGUUGGUGGUGCAUGUCUGAUCUUGUGCACCGGGUACAGGCCAUAAUUUCUCCUAUCUCUGCAGUCCAUAAGGUCGGCGUUUUGGGGUUCACAUAGCAAUGCUCAAUUGAAAGGUCUGCAUUCUUGCAGGCAACCUUACAAAGUCAUUUGUCUUUAAGGUGCGUAAGACUACAUGAUGCCUCAUGAUAUGAUUGAAUGGCAGAUCUGAGCCUCCCUUUUCUUCUUGUUUCUUUUCAGCUAUUAGGAUUUAUUGUUGUCAUUUUCUUCUUCUCUGUGUUUGUUUCUGCAUGGAGAAGCUAGAUCAUCAAUUCCUAUUCCCUGUACUUUUCAGUGGUUGAUGAUCAGAUUUGAGUUGGUGACUUGGUCGGCUUAUUUCAAGAUGGCCUGUAGUUGAGGGGUCUUCAUACAUUUUACCUUUUUAAUAUGGGUUGGAAUAAGAAUCAGAUAUUAUUUUUCAUCCGAGGCUGGUGAUAUCGGUGACUUUAUCUGAGGAAUAAGAGCUAUUUAUAGUCCCUGUACUAUUCCGAUAUUGUAAUUUGGUCCAAACUACAUCUCCACAACCUUCACUUCGGCACAGGUGUAGUUUCCUAUUAGACCUCUGCAGUGUAAUUCAACCACUACAGAGGUUCCAAGUGUGAUCUAGCAAUGGUGAGGCAGCUAUGGAUGGUCUGCCUUUCCGCAGGCAACCUAGCUGGACCCCUUAAAUCUAAUCAUGAUCUGCCAUGAAGAUAGCAUGCCAGUGUAGCUUCAUCUUUAAGACUCUUCCUCUGUUGAAAGUUUGGAGUGCCAUCUUCGUGGUACAUUUGUUCUCUUGAUCCUGUUAAGAAUACUAGUCCCAUAUUCGAUACUUAAGCUUUUUGGAUUGGUCCGAGACUUUUGGCAUAUCCAACUUCUAGCGAGGGAUAUUUUUAUCUUUUUUUUUUUUUUCAAUUAUUCCAUCUGUCCUUCCUGAUGCCUUUGAUUAUUUGGAGAAGGCGGUAAUGAUUUCUAGCAUGUUGCACAUGAGCUUUCUUCCAAAAUGUUAUGAUUAUUCUAUCCCAGGCUGUAGAAUAUUGAUUUUGCCAAUUGGACGUAGUGGAGGAUGCCGGUCAGCGCGUGUGCGGAGCCUAAAUGAGGUGAAAACGUUUUGGCGCGAAAUGGACGCAAAAACGAAUGAAUAGGGUCAAUCUCUUAUUAUGGAGGACCAAAUCGCAAAUAGACAAAGUUUCGGGCUAAGUUGCAAAAAGGGCAACUUAGUGGAAUUCCACUAAGAGCUCUUAACCUUAUUUUACUGUUCUUUCACUAUUCUGGCCUCCAGUAGACCUAAUGGGAAGAUCGUGGUUAUCGUCGACCGUAUCCACUGGGAACUACUGUUUAGUAGUUCUCACAUCCUUUUGUGGUUUACUUUUGAGGGGUAGGUAUACUGACGGCUGAUCGAGGUGAGGGGGAUCGCGCAGUAGAUACCAUCUCCUACCAGCAUGCCUAGACAUGAGUGGACUACUAGAUAGAGUGCUACUCUGUACUACAUGCAUGUACUGGUGAGGGCCAGGGCUUUUUUUCUUGUACUUUUCUUUUGGGGUUGAGUUUUAUUUGAUAUAGUACAUGAUGUACAGUAGUUUAGUUUGUAGAUAGCGCUCUGAUACUUGUCGUUUGCUUAUUCUGUACUUCAUGUUGAUUCCUGUGUUGUGGAAACUUCUCUAGUGUGACCUCUUGGAAUCCUUUGUCCUGUUCAGUUAUGUUGACGUUUCGUUCAGGCAGGAAAAAACUCUGUUCGUUCGGCGAGUCUGUUGACGUCCCCAUAGGCUUCCGCUGUGGACUUGGGGCGUGACACAGGCUUCCUGAGAUUCAAAGUUUGAAACCCUUGAAAUACUGCUUUAGGUUUCAAAUCUUGGAAGGCUCUGCUUUUCCAGCAGGCAACCAGUUUUGCAUUCAGGGUUCAACCCGUUUUUUCGAAAUUUUUUUUUUUUUUCCCAUAUUAUAUCAUUUCUGACAAAAAGGUUGUAUCCAGUAUUUGAUUUGUGUCCCCAGCUAAGCACUCAUGGUUUCCAACACUGCUCUCCGUUGAAUGUUUGUAUUUGAAUUUGUACUUGGAGAAGUAUGGAAAUAGUCAGUUGCUAUCUGAACAAUAUCCGACCCAUUUUCAUCCCUAGUUAUGUGACAGGUAGUGAUCCUAGUAGAGUCUAGAGACACUGAAGAAGAGAUAUAGUCGUUUCUCACCCUCUAUCAGCGUCUAGAGAGUCUAGAGAGUAAGAGGGAAUCGUUAUCCUGAAAUUUCUUUCCUAAUGUCCAUAUCAGUGUCUCUUUACGUUUUAAUCUUUCUGCUGUGGAAAUCUUAUUUUAGAUUGCUUUACUUCGCUUUCUCGUAUGUCCUGCAUCUAGGUAAUCUUCUUAAUCUAUGUUGUUAGAGCCUUCUUGACUGUCUCUUCUCUCUCUACUUGGGUUCAUCCAUUAACCAGAUAGAAUUGUCCUCUUCUUUUUCUGCAGAAUGUGUUUACCUAAACUAUGAACAAAUGAUAUACAUUUUUUUGUUUUUUCAAUUGACCUCUGAAUAUUGACUUGGUUUCUUUGAUUAAUUAGUUAGUUCACUGCAGUCGGCUUUUUUUUUUUUUUUUUUUUUUUUUUUUUUUUUUUUGGUUUUUGGUUUAUACAUUCUGUUUCCAGCAUAUUUUUUAUAUUAAUGGCUUUACUGUUUACUGUUUUCUGAAUUAGUAUUUUGCAGUUGACAUUUCUCUCGUAUUCCCGUUUCUUUUUAUUAUUUUUGUUAUUAUUGUACCGUUUUGUGUUCUUUCAACAUGCUUGUACAUCUUUCUUCUCUUAUUCUUCUAAUCCCUAGCUACCAUUUUACCAUUGAACCCUGAAUUCUAAACCCUUGGGACAUUGUUUGGUUCAUAAGUGGAGUGAGAAUGGAAAAUAGAAUGACAAACCAUCAACGAAUGUUUGAUUCAUUAUUGACCAAAAUAGUUGUAUAAUUAGGAGGUUCACUUAGAGAGCGGGGGUGUACCGAGUUAUUUAAUAAAAUAUAGUAGAGGACCUACUCGGCAAAAAUAAUAGUUUACGCAGUUAUUUGCAAAAUAACUAAAUUUUAAUUUUUAGGAUGUCUCUGAACAUUUUUUUUUCCUUUAUGAUUUUUUUUUUUUGGCAAUGUUAACUCUACAACGCACCCGUUUUAGACUGUAGAUCUUAUAACUAGAUUAUCCAAAAAGAUAAUCAACUUUGUGCCCUUAAAAAAGAGCUAAUUUCCUCUGUAGCUUUAAAAAAUUAAUAAUUUUUCAUUUACCUUUUAUUUCGAAAAUAUACUCCCGAAAAGAAAAAUUUACAUGCUCCUUUAAAUAUUUGAAAGAAGGAUCAGGUAAAUAUGAAAUUAAUUUUGUAUUGAGGCGUAUAUGAGUAGUGAUAUUAAUGAACACUAAUGUGAUAAUUUUUGUUGAAUUAAUGUUAAAAGUUAAUUAAAAUAAAUAUUACAGAAAAGAAGUUUAGGAGAAAAACCAAAAAUAGGAAAUUACUCCAAAAAUCUCAAAGAAGGAAAAGGAAGGUAAGGAUGUUGUUUCAAAAUAGCUAUUAUUGAGGAGUCUCGACGCUUUUUUGUAUUUGAAAUCAAUGAUUUAAGUGUCUUGGCACGGGAUCGUGCGGAAAUUUGCCGGCACGAUAUGUGCCGAGCCGUGCCGAUGCGUGUCGGUCAAAAAAAUUCUUGCAUGCCGACACAUGGCAACAUGAAAUAUUUAUUUUCUUUAGUAACAAAAUAUUUUAACUAUUUAUUAUAUUUUUUUAUCACAUCUUUUGAACUUUAUUGAGGAAAUUAUUUACUAAUUUAAAGAAUAUAGGGUUUUUAGCUGUGCCAUCGGCACGGGAUCUGUAUCGUGCCGGUAUCUUGUUGGUGCGAUAUGGCACGGUGGAAACGGCCCGUGCCGACGGGUACUUAAAAUCUAGUUCGAAAUGCUGAGUGCACAUGCGGUUGUUACAAAUUAUUUAUAAUUACAAUGUUUUCCACUAUAUCUAAUUAAACAAAUUAUCUAUAUCUAUAUCUCUAUACUUAUACAUUAUUUUCCAUAUAGUCUUGCCACGUAGCGGUCCCUUCUUUAUCUUACCUUCUCCUCUCUUCUCUAAUCACAAUUGUUUCAGCCGCACAAAACCUUUGAUCUUCCAAUCAAUGAACGAUCUUAAACCCACACUCUUCGUUUCCCCACUAAGGAGUUACUAACGCAUUAUUAACUUUAAUAAUUAAUAAUUACGAUGAUCCGCACAAUUAGCACCACUAAAACCCCAUCAUCAUCAUCUCCUCUUUCUCGGAAUCAAAUAUCACACUCUAACAAUGUCCUAUGUUAUAAACCAACUUUUCUAUCUAUUAUUCUUAUUAUUAUUCUCGAACGCGAGGACGAACCCGUCAACGCCAUUCGGGUCGAGCCAUGAUUGUUCAGGCACAUUGUUUGGGUUCAGCGUAUGCUUGGAGUUAGUGGAGGGCGGGGCGAACGGGUCCAAAUCGGGGUUGCUGCUCUGGGUUCGGUCACGUGCUGAGUCGGAGUGUCACGUGCCUCUGUGAGGCCAUACGAGAUAGGCGUACCCGUGAACGUCACCAAAGCUCUCGCUUUGCCCUUGCUUUGUGGGCUCUCCUACACGCCAAUUGUCCUCUGUUACAAAACUAAGAGGUGUAUUUUUUUUUUAUGGUCCAAUUUCACCUGUACAAAUUGCUUUCAUAAGAAAAAAUAAGUAAAAUAAAAUUUUUUUGUACUCUUUUUUUCCCUUUUUUUGGCGCAUAAGAAUGGUUUAUAUUUUGUAAUUUUUUUAAUUUUUUUUAUCUUUUUGUUUUUAAAUUGUAUGUGUACUGAAAUUAGGGUUUUGUGGAUUGUAGAGCAGCAAAGAUAGAUUUGGAGUCAACGAGAGAAAAGAAGUGGAAUCAACGUGGCUGUGACGAAAAGGAGCUCGACAUUGAUAAUGGCGACAAAGGUAAUGUGGAGAUGGGGAUUCGUCUUCCCGAUGUCGGUAGUGAAAUCAAGAUACGUAUGGAGUAAUAAUUCUAUUGCUGCUUCUUUCAUUACUAUUUUUUAUAACUUAUUUAAUGAAAUUAUAAAUUUUGUUACAUUUGUACGUAUAUCUGUUUCAUCUCUUUUAUUUGUAUAUAUGUUAAUAUAUAUUAUUUUUAUUUAUUAAUGUCUUAUGACAAUUCAAAAAAUUUAAAAUUUUUACUUUAUGAAUUUUUUGUCUUUCUAUAGCAUCAAUCCGCCGCAAUGCACGGAUAAUUUCACUAGUAUAUACUUAUAACUGCGGCAUGAGUUGUAAAUCUUAUAUUUCACGAUUUAAAGGCUAAUUGUUACACACUAGUUAUAUCGACAUAAUUUGAUAUAGCUAAUAUGCAGCAUGUAACUCUUAUAAUGAGAUGUAAAAUGUAUACCCAGCUUUUGAGUUUACAGAUUUGUUUGUUAAUUCGCGAAUUAUUCACGAAUUAUUAAAAAUUCAAAUUAAACGGUCCGUUUACGAAUUUUUUUCAAAAAAAAAAAUUAUUAGCGAAUUUUUUGGCCAGCCGAAUAAUUCGCAAAUUAUUUUCGAAUUAUUGAAAAUUUAAAUAAAAAACUUAUAAUUUUUAUGUUUAAAUAUAGAUUAUCUUAUAUUUUAUAUAAAUAUGAGUUCUCUGUUCAUUCUCCCCCCCAAAAAAAAUAUUUAUAUAUAUUUUAUAAUUAAUAAUGGGCUAUUUUAAUCUAUUUCUUGCUUGAUUGUUUAUAUACCAUAGUGUAUAAUAUAAUUCUCUAUAGUUUUUUUUUUUAUUUAAUCUACUUUAUUUUGUAGCUUUUUAUUCUUAGAAUUGUAAAUGUUUACAAUAGUAGUAUAAAUCUAGAAAAAAAAUUGAAGUUUAAUAGGCAAAUUUUUUAUCCCGAAUUUUUAAUUGAUGAACGUAUAAUUUUCGUAUAAAUCACGUAUCCGAAUAAUUACCAAAUCCAUUUUUUAAGUCGAAUUUUUUAACAAAUUAAAAAAAUUAAAAAACGAAUUUUAUACGUAUUAUAACCGUACCGAAUUUUUUCCGAAUCCGAAUUAACUAACUAUGGUUUAAAGGUAGCAAUGCUCUUUUCAUACAUCCUACUUUCGUUUGAUUUAGCCCAUUUUCUAGUAAUACAAUAAAUCCUUCUAGAAAAUAACUUGGAACUAUAUUACAUUUUAAGAGAGUCUGAGACUUAUGCUGGGUUUAUUCCGAAAAAGUUAAAUUGGAGGUUUGGGUUUCAAAACUAUUGAACCUUCUUUUCAAAACAACUUAGAAUAUUUUAGGUAAAGAUAAUACUCUUGUUUUUGAAUUUACAAUAUCAUGUUUUCAUUCUUUAGAAUUUUUUUUUUCAUCGGUCAACUUUGUUUAUUUAAUGUACCCAAAAAUAAUCUUUGAAAAAUAUAAAAUAUGGUAUGUCAUAUUUGACAGUUGUUGACAUGAACGCAUUCUUAAUUGAAAACGAGUUUAUUUCAGUUCAUUAAAAAUUGCUCAAUCUUACAAUCUUUGUGUUAUUCUAUCAUGAAUUCAACUUUGGAGUUAUUUUAUCAUGAGAUUGUUCUGAUUAACUUUUGCUUUUAUUGUUAUCCAUAUUAAUAUUCACAUUUAUUAAUUUCCUCUAUGAAAGUCUUAGAAAAGAGAAAUUUCGCACUUUCUUUACUCUGAGACAUUUUAUUUAGAUAUUUACAAGCAAAUAUACAUUAAGGGUGUGUUUGGUUCGCAUUAUGAAAGAUAACUAGGAAUAAAAGAUAUCCUAGAAUUUUAUUCCUAUUCAUCCUAUUACUAAGAAUGUGGAAUUCAUGUGUUUGGUUUGCACGGUAAUAUUAAUUAGCCAUAUUAUUUAAUAUUACAAAAAAUAUACAAUUUAUUUAUUUAUUUAUUUAUUUAAUUUUAGAUAAUGUUACCAAAAAUUUCAACAUCUUUUUAGAAAAAAAGAAGAGAGAGUAUAAAUUAGAGAGAGAGCGCAUAAUUAAAAAAAUAGAAAGAAAAAUAUAGUCGAAAUUAGAGGAAGUGAGAGAGUUGAAAUUUUAGAAAAAGAGAGAGAGAGCAAGCUUAGUUUAGAGAGAGAAAAAAAAGUUGAAUUUUAGAGAGAAAAAUAAGUUUAGAGAGAGAUAUAAUGUUAGAGUAUAAAAAAAAAUAAUAUCAAUUAGCCGGCGGAUAGGAAGAAAGAAAGAGAUUAGACAUAUUAUGAUUACCUCAAUCCAUUAAUAAAAGGAUAUCCAUCCUCCUCAAGGGAAUGAGAUUAGUACUUUGGGGUGAAUCUUAUUCCUAAGUGAAUCCAAUAUUACCAACUAGAUUACUUAGUGCGUUUAGCCAAACACUGUCAUAUUUUUUUAUUCCCAUUGGAUUACUAGGAAUCUUUAAAACAUAGCGCGAACCAAACGCACCCUAAGAUUAUUGCACUAACAUUGGGUACAUUAAACUUGAUAGAAUACUUUUCUACUACUUUACUCUUAGAACUAGUUGAAAUCUAAUUGACCAAAUCCUAAUUGUUUUAGAUUGAUGGGCCUGGUUGCAAUUCAAAUAAAUUUGUAGAAUACUUUUGUUUAUUUUAUGUCCUGCUCUGAUGGGAUAUUUACUAGUGAUGUGCAACAAUUUUGGAAUAUCUAACUACAACUAUGGAUUCAGACUGACUUGUGUCCAGUUAUGGGUCAGAACUGUUUUGGGUUUUGAUUUUGUGUCUAACUAUGUAUCAAAACUUAACUGGGUCUUAGCUUUAGAUCUGAUUUUUGAGUCUAAUUAUGGGUCAAAACUAAAUUUGCCUUUGAUUUCUGAUCUACUUAUGGAUCAGAAUAAAUUAUAAUUACAUCUAAUUAAGAUUUGAAUGAUUCUAAUAAACGGCCAGAACUGAAAAAGCACUAGUUAUGAGUCUAAUUAGUUAGAGAUUUUACUUAAUGAGAAUCCUAUUUUGCUAAAACUAAGUUAGUGUUUUUCACCUUCUUUAUUCGAAUAAUAAGAUUAUUCUCUAUGAUUUGAAAGCCUAUAUAUUAGCAAAUUAAACAAAGAAAUAAAAAAUUAUAUAAAACAUUACAUAUAAUAAUAAAAUUCUUUCACAUCAAUAUAUAUUGUUUAAAACAAAUUUCACAUACAAAUAAUAUACUAAAUAUGCAUAUUCCACAAAUUAAAAAAACUAAUUAUUUUCAACUACGUAUGCGCCAAUUGCUAUUGCCAUGCGACUCAAAAGUUCGCGCUUUACUUUUGCAUAGCCGUCCGUUCCCCAAUGACUACCCCAAGAGUUUUUUAUCAAAUAAUAUUUGACGUCGUUUUCUACACCGUAUCCAACUAUAGUCACGGAGUGGCUCCCUCGUUUUUUUUCUCCAACAUGAGGACCCAUAUACACAACCUACAUGGAAAAAAAAAAUAGUCAUUAUCAAAUUAAAAAAAGGUCAUUAUCAAAUAUUAUAUUAUCAAAAGUUAAUUAAAAUUUAUAAGUAUUAGCAUAUAAAAAAUUAUUCAUUAUUAAAUAUUAUAUAUCAAAACUUAAAUUUAUAAAUACUAACAUCUCUCGGUAGAUGAGUAAAGCUGUUAUAUAUGUUUAUGGCAGCAGCAAUAGGUCGUUCUCUCAAAAUUUCUUCGAUUUCUCCCUCAUUAUGUCUUCUUUCCAAUUUGCUCUGAAAAUCUUGAAUCUUCACUCUCUGCUUCUUCUGUAAAAAAUAUUUAAAAUUAUCCAAUAAUUAAUAGAUGUAUUAAUACUAAAUAAGUUUUUUUAGUGUAUAAGUUAACUUACAUCUUCAUUCAUUUGACAAUAUUGGCGUCGUGCAACAUAUGGAUUAUCAGCUUCCAUGGCAAUACCAUAUGUUUUGAUGUACUCUAAACACUUGCUAUGUGUGCACUGUAUACAUCCAACGGCGUCUAUAUGUUGUUCACGGGAAGAUGGAUACAUUUCAUGAUAACAGUUUACUAGCUCUUGUUUUGAUAAUUCAAUGAGUUGACCAUACUUUUUUGCAUAUUCUGCUUCAACUAAAGUGGUGGAAGAAAAGGCAUAGCAACAUUCUUCGUAUAAUUCAUUAAAGAAAAAAAACAUUAGUUAAUAAAACAAUAAUGAAUUGUAUUAAUCUCUACAAAAAAUCAUUCUAUUAAGUAUACUUACGACACUCUCUUUGAUUUCCUACGUCCUCCCGAAUUAUAUUAAUUGGCUUGUCGUAAAUCAAAAGAUGCCUAUCAUAUUAAAACAAAGAUAUGAAAAUGAGAAUUAAGAAAAUAAGUAAUUUCUAUAUAUCAAAUAAAAAGUAUAAUCUAUGAUAAUUUUUGUUAUUUGAUAACUUUUUUAUUGGAAAAUUAGGAUAUUCGCUUAUUUUAACGAACUUAGUUUAUUUUACAAAAUUCAUUUGCAAAUAGCUCGAGGUAAAUUAAUUAAAGAAAAUUUAGUAGAAUUAAAAUUAUUAAAAUAUUAGUUGGUAAAUCAAAACUUAAACUAGAUUAAAACUAAUCCUAUUUUAAAUAGGUUUCAUAUAUAUAUAUAUAUAGCUAACGACUCAAAAUUCUUUUGAGUUAUUACCAUGUUAGUGUGGGUUGCGAGGUGGAGUUAGAAACAGACCCAAUAAAAAUAAUCUUAUCUAUCAAAAAAAUGCACUAUAUAAUUUACAAAGUGCAUGGUUAUGUGGGAGUGAGAUUCUCUUCUCACACUUUCAUUGGAUAAAAAUGUGUGAAAGUACUAUUAUACAUGAGAUUUGCAUUGAUACUUUGGCAGCCAGACUAACUAAAUUUAAAUUAUAUUAAUUACCUAAGGUCUCGUUUGGCAUGCAUUGUUGCUGGUUAUAAGAUUAUCAAGAAAAUGCACUUUGUGAUUUACAAAGUAGUUCAAUGUGGGAGAGAGGUUCUCUUCUCACACUUUUAUUGGAUAAAAAUGUGUGAAGUACUAUUAUACAUGAGAUUUGCAUUGAUACUUUAGUGACAAACUAAUGAAACUUAAAUUAAUUAAUUAAGUAAGGUCUUGUUUGGCAUGAAUUGUUGCUUCUCGUUUGGCAUGCAUUAAUUUGUUGCUAGUUUUUACUUUCUUAAAUAUAUAAAAAUUUUAUGUCAAAAACUAUAAGAUUAAAUGAUGUACUACAUGUAUAUGACUUUUGCAUUGCAAGUUAAACAAAUCAUGAUAAGAAAAGAAAAAUCAUCCUACAGAAAUCAAAUUAAGCAUAUGAAAAUAUAUUGUGUUUGAAAAAAAAAAUUAAAAUAAUAUAAAAUAAAAUCUAAAAUAUUUUACUAUAUGCACCGUCUAAUUGAGUAGCUGAUAAAAUUUAAAGAUAACAAUUUAUCACUACUCUAUAAAAAAAUAAAUAUUUUGAAGAAAAUGUGUAUAAUACUAGCAUUCACGUACGGGAUUUGCAUGGGACCAUGGGUACUUCUCCCACCGUCUAAAUUUGAGUAACUAGAGAUAACUAAAGAAUACACAUGCACGUUAACUACUUAGCUUGAGUUAAUUGAGUGAGCUAUUUUUACGUAUUAGCUAAAUUGGUUCAUGAUUCACUUGUGAGGCCUCUUUGGAGAAAUUGUUGCCUGCAACCAACAUAUAAUGAUGCAUGCAUUAGUGGAAGAAUCUAUGCUUUUAGAUGGAUGAGAUGUAUAAGUUGUGAACCUAACAUAUAUAAGUUGCAUUGCUCAUAAAACCAAGUAAUAAUUUCACAAAAAGUUCAAAAAUUGGUAGUACAAUUAAUGUACCUAAUUUUAAAGUUCAAAUGCGCGCACCAGAAUCUUUUAAAAUUUUGCUCAAUCAUCCAAACUUUAAAAGUUUCUUAUUUGUCAUCCAGAACUUUCAAUUCUUUAACAUUUAACUACUUACUUUAUACUUUGUUAAUUUAAACUGACUGACAAUACCUAAAUGGUCAAGAAACAAUAAACAACACAUGCCAAAGCUAUAGAAAGGAAUUUUUUUUUUUUUUUUUUCCAAUGAUGGAAUUUAGUUUUACAGUAAAAAACAUAUUUUUUAUUAUUAACUAUUAAAAAUUAUAGUGAUAUUCUCAGCAAAAGAAAUAUUAAUGAAGUGUGUUUUUUUUUUUUAUUAUUUCUUGAUCAUUUGGCUAAUUAAUAUUAUAGAAACCUUAAAUAUACAAAAUAUUGGAAAUACGUUCUAGGUGAUAAAUAUAUAAUUUCUGUAGUUACAGAUGGUUAUGUGCAUCAGACUGAAAGUGGAAGUGCAAUCAACCCCUAUUUUCAGACCAAACUUUCCAUGAAUAAAUAGAUAGUUUUAAAAUUUUUACAGUAGUAGUACAUCCAUAUAUACUAGUUAAGGACCCAUGCGAAUGCCGCGAUAUAAAAUAUUCUAAUCAUAAAAUUUAGUUAAUUUUUAUUUUUUAUAAAAAUUUAUUAGCUUGUUUUUUUAAUUAAAUAAGUAAUAAUUAAAUUAAUUUAAAUAAAAAUAACUUAAGUUAGUACAUAUACGACAUAAAUUUUUAUAUUAGAUUAUUAGUGAUCAUCUCGUUAAUAACUACAAAUGUAUAAGUGAAUGUGUUAAAUUAUUAAGCUAAUUACAACACAAUUUAUUAUUUUGUAAAGGUAUGUGUAUCAACUAGGAUUCAAACUAGGAACUUCGGGUAUCAAGUAACAAGUCAUUUGCUGCUUGCGCUAGGGACGGUCGAUAAUGACCUCUCAUAGUUGAAGAGGAGAGUUAGGGUGACACAUGUUUUAUGUGCUUUCCUUAACUCUCCUUUCAGAUAUUACUGGUGAAGGCAUCCACAUGUUACAGUGGAUUGGUACGGCAGAAAUAAAUAAAUAAAUAAAGCUAAAGAAAGAAAAAAUAAUAAAAAAAAGAGUCAAAGAAUAAAAAUAAAAACAAACUAAAAAAGAAGCAGCAACUAUUGCAGUAAAAGUAUAAGAAUAAAAGUAUAAGAAAAGUAAUAAAAAAAAAAAAAGAAUAAAGGCAAAAUAAUAAGAAUAAUAAAUUCAAUUUAUAGCAUCAGUGAAAGUUGAGAAUUAAAAUGUCAUAUGCCUGAGAGUUUGAUUCAGAAAUUGUAACUAAUUAAAGCUUGAGAACUAAUAAUUUGAGCAAGAAAUAAUAAAGCAUUAAAGUUUGAAAAUUAAAGUAUUACGGAUUCUAUAAUUUGAGUAAGAAUUAAUAGCGGCCAUUUGAUAAUCGCCGUUAUCAAAUUAUCGCUAAAUUAUUAUUUUAUUGUAGUGACUGUACUCAUAUAUUUUGUCUUGAAUGAGAAUUCUUUUUAUUUUGGAAGGAUGUUGCAUUCGAUGUGCGAAAAAAUUUCGAGCCCGCUAAUCCCGUGGCGCGUCUUGCCACUCUGGCUCGUUGCCGUCACAUCCUGUCGAGGGAACAAGAAACCGGCAGAUCGCGGAGUUUGCCCACUUUCUCUUUCUCCCUUUCUCCCUAUCUGACUAUUAGGGGUGGAAACGAGCCGAGCUCGAGCGAGCUUAUGUCAGCUGCCGAGCAAGCUUAAUCCGAGCUUUUCGAGCUUAUAUAUAUAUACAUAUAUAUAUCAUCCCGAUAACACGAUAAUCCUCGUGUUGUUUGGAACACAAGGAUUCAAGAAUUGACAGGUAGUUUAAACUAACUACCAAUCCCACUUUCUCUCUUCUCUUUAACUUCUUUUCUUUAAAAGAAGUUAAAGAGAAGAGAGAAAGUGGGAUUGGUGGGUAGUUUAAACUACCCGCCAACUCUUGAAUCCUCGUGUUCCCAUCGGGAUGAGAUAUAUAUAUAUAUAUAUAUAUAUAUAUAUAUAUAUAUUACAUAAAAUUAAUAUAUAUCCAAAAUUAAAUUAAACCCGACAAUAACAACCGAGUAUUUUAUUUGGGUUGUUCAUGUUGGCACGUUAACUCGGGUUGAGUGUUAAAUAUAUUGUGUGAGAGAAAAAGUCUGAAAGUGACAACGUGUAUUGGGAUUUUGCACUAUUGUAAGUUUAAAGGUUUAGGGAUUAAAAAAAGGGGGGGAGAGAGAGAGAAGAGAGAGAGAGUCUGGGAGUGGGUCAAUCCGCCAGUGGGAUCGAGUGUAAAGAACGUUAAUAAAAUAUAAAACUUGAUAACCUGUACAACGUAGUUUAACAUCCAUUACAAGAUAUUUUUAAUUUGAUGACUAAUAUAUUACAGUUCUUAAAGUUAGCCGAGCAAAUCUCGAGCUCGAGCCGAGCUGAGCUUUAAUCCGAGCGAGCUCGAGCGGAGCUUAAUUAAAGUUCAGCUCGAACUCGGAUCUAAAUCCGAGCCUUAAUUAAAGUUCGGCUUAAACNCUCUCCCCCUCUCUCUCGCACGCCACUCUCUCUCUCUCUCUCUCUCUCUCUCUCGCACGAACACCUAUCAUCUUCUAUUGCGCCGUCCUCCCAGGUAAUCAUCACGAUCUCCUUCCCUCCAUUCGUCAUUUCUGUAAAAAAUAAUAUUCAAAUGACCACAACAAGGGUAAUUUUGAAAAAAACUAUACUUUUAUGUCAGGAUUACUAAAUUUUAUAAACUGAACCAAACGUAUUAAUGCUAUAAACACUGUAAUCUAAUAUUACAUUACUGAAUUAAACCAAACGUACUAAUACAGCAUCAGUAGUAAUCUCACGCCGAAAUUCAAGAUACUUGGAUAUGUCGAGAUACUUUGUAAUAUUACAUAACUCGAACCAAACGGGCCCUUAAUAUAAUCAUUCUUCUUCUUUUGCUAUUGUCGUUAUUUUUUUGUUUCGUCUUUUUUCUUCUAAUAACUUUGUUAUUAUUGUUGUUCUUGCUGGUUCUUCUUCUUGGUUCUUCUUCUUUAGCUUCUUUUUUUAUUUUUUUAUAUUUUUACUGCUACUAUAAAUAUAUUUAUUAUUCUUAUGUUUGUGUCUUUAUUCUUUUUUCAUUUCUUUUAUAUUUAUUAUUCUUAUGUUUGUGUCUUUAUUCUUUUUUCAUUUCUUUUUAUGCUUUUAUUCUUAUAUUUUAUUGCACCACCUGUUGCUGCUGCUGCUUCUUCUUCAACUAUUACUUUUUUUCUAAUUCUUUAGUUUCUUUAAAUUUUUUUAUGUUCUUAUUGUUUUUUUCCUUCGGUUUUUUUCUUAUUUAUUUGUCUCCACAUAACUGACUUCCCGCAACGCGCCGGUGUCUUCACUAGUUUUACAAUACCAGCUAGUCUACUACAGACCGUAACCCAAGAACAACUUUUAUAACUUGAGCUCUCUAUAUUACUCUUCAGAUUUGCUAGAAUUCAACUCUUUAAGAGCAGACAACUUAGCAUGCCAUCAAAAUAUCUAGUUUAAUGAUCCGCGUUUUGUCGAUGUCAUAGAUUUCUUUGCAUAAAUACAUGCUUAAUCUGAAAGCGAUAACUUAAUCAAACGAUUUAGUAAUCCAUCAUUCCCAAUUUAAAGAAACCAAAGUUGAUAAAUCUAGUGGAUUAGAAUGGAUUGUCAAACAUGGCCUUCAAAUAAUUAGCUGCAAUAGUUAGGAAAUGCGCGAUAAGAUUGGCAAAGCACAAAACAAACAGCGAGCGAUUUUGUAUCCACUAAACUCCUCUAAAGCUGAUCUAGCUAUUAUGUCCAGAUGAUACAAUUUGGAACUCAGAAUAUGGCAUGUAAAAACAGUUUUCCUAGGGUAAUAAGGUUAACAUGCAAUGGCUAGUAUAACUCAAUUCUUAAUUCUUCACUUAACAACUUGGGACUAACGAAUUUGUCCAGGUCUAAAUCAACAAACCAGAAUUUAGACCGUGCGCAUUUCAAUUUCCGCAACUUGGACCAUUUGUGAACGACAGAGUCGUGCGCGAACAUGUUUGCUUCACAUUAUCAGUUGUUUGGUCGAGAUCUCAGCUGGAAAGUGCAUCUAUAAAGAUAGCANUUAUUCUUUUUUCAUUUCUUUUUAUGCUUUUGUUCUUAUAUUUUAUUGCACCACCUGUUGCUGCUGCUGCUUCUUCUUCAACUAUUACUUUUUUCUAAUUCUUUAGUUUCUUUAAAUUUUUUUAUGUUCUUAUUGUUUUUUUCCUUCGGUUUUUUUCUUAUUUAUUUGUCUCCACAUAACUGACUUCCCGCAACGCGCCGGUGUCUUCACUAGUUUUACAAUACCAGCCCAAGAACAACUUUUAUAACUUGAGCUCUCUAUAUUACUCUUCAGAUUUGCUAUAAUUCAACUCUUUAAGAGCAGACAAUUUAGCAUGCCAUCAAAAUAUCUAGUUUAAUGAUCCGCGUUUUGUCGAUGUCAUAGAUUUCUUUGCAUAAAUACAUGCUUAAUCUGAAAGCCAUAACUGAAUCAAACGAUUUAGUAAUCCAUCAUUCCCAAUUUAAAGAAACCAAAGUUGAUAAAUCUAGUGGAUUAGAAUGGAUUGUCAAACACGGCCUUCAAAUAAUUAGCUGCAAUAGUUAGGAAAUGCGCGAUAAGAUUGGCAAAGCACAAAACAAACAGCAAGCGAUUUUGUAUCCACUAAACUCCUCUAAAGCUGAUCUAGCUAUUAUGUCCAGAUGAUACAAUUUGGAACUCAGAAUAUGGCGUGUAAAAACAGUUUUCCUAGGGUAAUAAGGUUAACAUGCAAUGGCUAGUAUAAUUCAAUUCUUAAUUCUUCACUUAACAACUUGGGACUAACUAAUUUCUUACAAUGUCAUCCUUAAGCAGGAAGAAUUUGUCCAGGUCUAAAUCAACAAACCAGAAUUUAGACCGUGCGCAUUUCAAUUUCCGCAACUUGGACCAUUUGUGAACGACAGAGUCGUGCGCUAACAUGUUUGCUUCACAUUAUCAGUUGUUUGGUCGAGAUCUCAGCUGGAAAGUGCAUCUAUAAAGAUAGCACAGAGAGACAUUAGGUAGGCCAACAAAAUCUGCUUAACUGAAAAUUUGGAGGGCAAAGUAAAUAUCUACCAAACAUGAAGUGAUUACCCCCUAUUCUUUCUAAUUCAUAGUACAAUUCAGACAUGAGAUCUCUUAUUUCUUGCAACAGCUAAAGCCUAUUUCUGCCAAAUAUAAAACUGCAGUACAGUUUGGCCCAAAUAUCUCUUUCAAUUGCCAAAAAAUCAACAAAGAUUAACACUGUAAGUCAUAAAAUUGUUAGAUUACCUCAAACUUGGAAUGCAUUUGGUUCUGAACGACAAUCUAUUAGCGGCAAAGCAUCAAUGGUAAAGCAGCAACCAGGAGAAGAACAGAAUUAUAAAUGACACCUUAAGAUUCUAGAAUUCGCAAACCAUGUACCUUGAAAUUAAACUGAACCAUCAUCAAAGACCAGAAGCAACUCCAUCUACGAGAAAUAAACCUUCCAAAUUGCCCUACCGUUCAAACCUUUAUAUAUGGAUUGGAUCGAAGAACAGGGAAUAAAAAUGCAGAGUUUCCAAGAUCCACAUUUAAUUAACUGUUUGUUUAGCAUGACCAUUUUCUCUAUUGCAAGAAGCAAACAACAGCAUUUGAAACAGGAAAAGCCCUCGUCUUUUUCUAUGGCAGCAAACUGAAAUAAAAUUUCAUUGACUUGUCUGUCUCCAAGAACUAAGUAGGAUUUAUUUCUCACAAAUAUAAAGGCAAACAAGCAAACUCAAUAUAUUGUUAUAUUUCAACUGCCUUUCAGACAAAUACCAGUCAAAAAUUAGUAGAAGCCAAUACCACUUAGAAUAUAAGGGCAACAUAUUUGCAUAAGGUAUGUGUUUUACACUACAAAGUUUUGUAUCUCACACCGAACCCUACAAGUAGAUAAAUUUGACUCUUCACGAGAGCACCAACAAACUCCCAUAUUCAGGAAAAGUAGCAUCUUUUAUUUGUUAAAGCAAAGAUAAGAAGAUAAAAUGCUACAAUAUAACUUGUUAAAGCCUCCAAAGUACUAACAUCAAUAACUAAGAACUUAAAAUAAAGAAAAACCAGCAAUCAAAAUAUAUAUAUAUAUAUAUAUAUAUAUAUAUAUAUUUCCCACCAUUAUGCACGACCAAACAGCACCUGAAUGGCGAAGCAGCCUGGUGUAGAGCAUGACAUUCGGCCUACAAAGCAAAUAAGGAAACAUCUAGUUGUGUUAUUGCAAAGAGACAGAAAAUUUAAACAAACAAGUAUUGCUAAUUAUAUUUCAUUAAUUAGCAUAAUCAUAUAAAGAUAACAUGGAGCAUGUUAUCCAACACUUUAUUAGGAAUACUCUCAGGAAGCAUUAGAAACUAUUCUGCAACAAUUGAUAUGCAAGAAAUAAUUAGCAUCUCUUCCUGAAUCUUAUGAGAAUCAGUAAAAGAUAUAGUCCUCCUAACAAUUCAAAAGCCUCAUCCAAAUUCCUAAUUUUACAAGUCCAAGAAGUUACCAAUUUGGACAAAUAUAUAGCUAGCUAAUGUCGUAGCUGAAAUUUUUUUUCAUUAAAAAAAUUAGCACAAUGAGGAAAAAAUAAAAACUUAACAUAAAACAAAGUUGAACAUUGAUGUAACUAAGCAUUGGAAGUAGAAAUACAAGACGAACAGAAUAAAUAAUUUUAGCAUAGGAAACCUCAUUCUCCUUUUCUACAACAUAUCGCAUGACGCAUGGUUUUCAAGUUAGACAACAGAUAUCGAAUUAAAUAACAAAUGCUCUAAUUAAUUUAAGUACUAUAUACACAAACUAUGACCUAACUAUACAAACAAAUAAAUAAAAAUAUACCUUUACUAACUCGCAGUUGGCUUGAGUCUACAAAGAGCAACUCUAAUGUUACGUUGCACCCCAUAAAACACCUUCGCCUGGAAGAUUUUCCACUCAGCUUCACUGUCAACUGCUUGGAAGGUAACAUAGUACCAAAGUCCUGCUGCGACACUACACGUUGCCUUCUCUAUUUUUACAAACACAUAACUCAUAUCCUACAUUACGAAAACAUCACGAAAUCAAUUUUAUCAAAAAAAAAAAAAAAAAAAAAAAAAACACACAAAGAAAUAAACAAUAAGAAAAGACAUACACAAGGCAACAUGAACAUACAUUUUCCUUAUUAAAAUGUUCGAUUGCCAAUUUAGUACAUCUGAGAAGAAUUUCAUCAUCAAAAUCCGUGAUCGCCGUAAGGCCAAACUCACAAGUGCCUGGAAAUGGAUCAACAUCGAAUCCCUGUAAAAGACAUGUAUUAACAAUUAGUGAAAAAAAGGUUAUGAAACUUUAACUCUCAAAAAGAAGACAAUAAUUAUUAAACACCUCGCUUUCCUUGAUUUGUUUGUAAUAUCUGUCCCAUUCUUCGCGAGUCCUACUGCGAUUACCAUUAGGCCAAACAUAAACCUCAUCUUCCUCUGAAGUAUGCUCAUAAACCCUUUGAUCCUUCUCGUUCCCUUUCUCUUCCUCCAUUUCACUUUGGGUAUCUUCCUCCUUGCCCUCUUCCCUCAUCUCUUCGCUUUCUUCCUGCAGUUUCAACUUCUUCUGCAGCGGCCCUUCAGGUAUCAGGUUCUUGGAAUUCUGCCUGUAUCACAAAAUGAAAUAUAUCUAUCAUAAAAAAUUUAAACAAAUUUCAAUCAAAACUAACGACAAUUUAAAAAAAAAAAAUCUUAAAUUGGCUCAAAUAGAAGAAGAAUUUAGCCGAUGCAUACGAAACAGAGACCAAACAGGGCAUAAUUCAGGUGAUACAUUCCUAGAUUAGGAUUUUCUAAUUACGGAAUAAUAUAUUAUUUAUUUUAAAAUAUUUCAGUUGUUUCCAAUAAAGUGUAAUUAGGGUUAGGUUAUAGAAAUGUGUAUCUUUUAGGGUUUGGAGAAUAAGAAGAAAUUGGUCGUGUUGUUCUCUUCUCCCUUAUCUAUCUUUAUCUCUCUAAUAUCUCUCUCUUUAGGAGGUUCGAUCCCCUCGAAGUGAUCGUUUAUCCCUAUUGAUACUAAUAUCUCUCUCUUUAGGAGGUUCGAUCCCCUCGAAGUGAUCGUUUAUCCCUAUUGAUACUAAUAUCUCUCUCUUUAGGAGGUUCGAUCCCCUCGAGGUGAUCGUUUAUCUCUAUUGAUACAAUACAACGGUAUCAAUUGGCAUCAGAGCCUUGUAUGUAUAGUGUAAACUCCAGCAAAAAAAGAUUUUCUGAAGAAGAUGAAUGGGGAUUUCAUAAGAAAAGAAGAGAUGAACGCUCGGUUUUCCAAUGUGAAGGCCCAACUCAACAAAGUGGAGACCGAGGUAAAGCUCACUAGCGAUUCUAUUAAUGAUCUCAAAAAUUUGAUCAUCCCUAUGAGCACGAAGAUGGAUUUGCAGCCGCAUACGCCAUUUGAAGAUACAUUCGUCUCGAAUUUCGACAAAAAUCAUCCCUUGCUCCCAACUCCUAUUAAGAAGGAAGCAUUGAUCCUAUUCAAAAUGUUCGUGACUAUCAGGCUCGACUCGAAAUGCUUGCCAAUCGCACUUAACAUUUUUCAUAAGUUUCUUGCCAAUCGCACUUAACAUUUUUCAUAAGUUUCUUCAUUAGUGGGCUGAAGGAGGAUCUAAAGUAUAACGUCCGAGCCUUCCGACCAACUUCUAUAUCAGCUGCUAUUGGUCUUGCUCGUCUACAAGAGGAGAAGUUAAUAGCUCAACAUCGUAUUAUGAAGCCUAAGCCUUCCCUUUUGUGCCCUUCCAUGACACCAAUAUCUAAUGAGGCGCUUCCACCCAUAAAGCGCCUUACACCGGCUAAAGCAAAAGUAAGAAGAGAUCAAGGCCUUUUGCUACAAUUGUAUGAAAAAUAGUCCUGGACAUCGAUGAAAAUCAAAGCAACUAUUUUUGAUCGAGGCCGAACGUGAUGAAAACAGAGAAGAUCUAAAGAGGAUAGGCAAAGGUUGAGGAUUUUCCAUCUUGAGGGCAAGGUGGCUAUCGAGGGCGGUGGAAUGACAUAUUCCUAGAUUAGGCUUUUUAAUUAUGGAAUAAUAUAAUAUUUAUUUUAGAACAUUUCAGUUAUUCUCAGUAAAGUGUAACUAGGAUUAGGUUAUAUAGAUGUGUAUCUUCUAGGGUUUGGAGAAAAAAAAAAAUUUGACCGUCUUGUUCUAUCUUCCCUCCCGUUCUCUUCCCUCUUAUCUUAAUCUCUUUAAUAUCUCUCUCUUUAGGAGGUUCGAUCCCCUCGAAGUGAUCGUUUAUCCCUAUCGAUACGGUAGAACCGUAUCAUCAAGCUAAAUUUCGUAAAUAAUUUUUUGGAAGGACUAUUUUUAUAAUUAUAAAAUAUGUUAUAAGUAUAUUAAUAAAAGAAAAGUCAACCAGCCAUCAUAAUCAAAAUAAUCAAAUGCAUAUCAAACGGCACAAACGGCAUUCUAAUCAUUUAUUACAAUCCAAAAUUGAUCAGAGUCAAACACAUAUCAAAAUCGCACAUAAAAAAAAAAGCACAUCCUGACAUAUGUGUACAGAAUAUGGUAACAAACGAGAUGUAUACCUUUGCCAGGUAAAGACAAUCUUCAGGAGAAGCAAGGCCUUCGCGAAUAAAGGCGGUGCGAAGGCACAGGAGAAGGAGACUCAGACUUGCGCUGCAAGUUUUGAUUUUAAUUUAGAGUAAACUUCAAGUCCCAUCCAUGUAGUUUCGCACUUCCUCAUUUUAGUACUCUAUAAUUUAAAGUGUAUCAAUUUAGUGCCCUCUGGUUUUAUUUUUCUCUUUUCAUCAACUUCUUCGUUAAUAUUUCGUUAAAUUAUAUACAAAAAAACUUCAGAUACCCACCUAGGUUUAUCGAAUAUUUACUUUAAUACUCUUUAGUUUUAACUUUGUCAUUGAUUUAAAGAAAAAAAUUAGUAGAAUUGAUAAUAAAAGGAUAAAAAUAAAACCACAGGACGCUAAAUUGAUACACUUUAAAGUAUAAAAUAAUAAAAUGAGAAAAUGUGAAAUCACAGGGGUGAUAUUUGAAAAUUUUCUUUUAAUUUUUAGUUUUUUGUUUUAGCAGUGGGCGGUGGCGUCGGGUGCUUCCCAUACGUGCGCUGCUGGCCCGGUACUUGGCAAAAGCCAAAACCACCUGAGGAACGAAUCACAUCCCCAGUGACGUUUCUGCCCUACUUUUGGAACAAAAGGCCAAAAAAAAAAAAACUUUAAACUAACGUAAAAAAGAUUAUGAACUUUAGUUUUCUUUUUUGUUUUUUUCCCAAUUAGAAUCUUAUUAUUCUAUUUGAAUUGGAUUCUAAUUCGGUUUCAGAUUUUGAAUUCCGAAAUUUUUCGGAUUCAAAUUCAGAUUUACUAUUUUUUUUCCCUAACUCAUAUUCAGAUUCGGAUUCAGAUUCGAAUAUGCAAUUUUGAAAUAUCCCAACAAAACUCUCACAACUUUUUUUUAUUUUAGCUUUAAAUAGAAUUAGGCUGGUAUACUUCCGUGCUACCAAAUUGUUUUCAAUAAUGCAACCUCCAAAUCGACGAUCGGCUCCGUUAGACUUGAUUUAUACUAUUGAAAGUAUUUGAAAACUAAAUUUCAUAAUUUUUCGACAUCAUUUGUCUAGUGAUCAAAAGUUACCAAAAUUGACAAUUUUAAUAGUCGACGUGAUGUAUUUGUGAAUUUAACGGUGUAAAACAAUUCAAAUCUGAUAAAAUCUUUAUAAAAAAUUCUUUUCACUAUUUAGAGUAAGAUCAGUACCUCUGAUCUUAAAUCAAGUCUUUUAUCAUCAUUUUUUAUAAGUUUUUUUAUUUUCAGUCGUUUAUUUUAGACUACUCAUUGAUAGAUAAAUAAUGUCGACAAAUUAUGAAAUUUAGUUUUCAAAUACUUUUAAUAGUGUAGAUCAAGUCUAAUGGAGCCGAUCGUCGAUUUGGAAGCGGCAUCAUUGAAAAUAACUUGGUAGCACUGAGACCUCUGUGCUACCGAUAGUAUACCAGCCGGACUCCUUUAAAUAUUAAUUAAAUAAUAUAAGUGGUAUGGUAUCCAAUGUUGAUUUAGGGGCCGUUUGGUUCAGGAACAAAGCGGGAAUAAAUACUUGUUCCUUUUUUUGUUUCCAGAUGCUAUGUUUGGUACUCGAGAACAAGCAGUUUUCAAGUCUCUGGAAUAAGCAAGUAUAAUCCGGUAUAAGUUUUGAAUUGUUAUUCCAACUUUUUUCUAGAACAAGCUUGUUCCCAAGUAGAAACAAGAUUAAUUAAAGUUUAAAUUUAAUUUUAACUAUGAUAUUAAAUUAUUAAUUAAUCUAAUUAAUAUAUUAGAAUUAUUAUCCAUUGUUUAAAUAAUAAAGUAAUUAAUUAAUUAAUUUAUUAUGUAUAAUUAAUUAGCUAAUUAAUUAUUAAUAAUUUAAUGUGUUUAUCUAUAAAUUAAUUUUUAUAUUGAUCAACCAUUAAUAUUAUUAUUAUUCUAAUUAAUUUUUUAAUUAGUUAUCAGACUAAAAUAAUUUACUAACUAAUUAAAAAUCUAAAUUAUUUUUUAUAGUUAAUUAAUUAAUUGAUAUAUUUUUAUUAUCUUCUAUAAUAUUCAUAGGUAAUAAAUUUAUUAAUUUAUUAAAUUAUUUUAAUUAAUAUUUUGAUGUUAAUUAACAGGAUAAAACAUUUUUAAUUUAAAAUUAUAACUCUUGUUUUUUCUGUUUCAAUCUAAUCAUCCAAACACUAUUUACCUUAUUUUCAAAAACAAUCUAAUUUUUGUCUAAAUGCAAAAUUAGUCUAGUUUCUGUUUAUAUCUAAACUUAUAUCUAUUUGUGAAAUAAGUAGUUUUUACUCGUAUCUGAACCAAGAUUCUUUUUUAUUAGUUCGGUUUGGACUACUAUUGAUGUGACAAACUAUUUAUUUACCUUAUAGUCUCUCUUCUUCUUUUUUUCCUUAUUUCUUUAAUUUAUGUUUUUUUUUUAUUAUUUUGAAGUGGUGGUUUCAUCACAAACAAAUAUCUUCCUUCGUUUCUUUGUCAUUGUACCAUCAACUAAAACCUUUUCUUAAAAUAGAGAUCAAAGGUUGUGACUAUUUGCUUAGGAGGCCGUUUCUAGAAGAAGGAAUGCAAGCUUACAACAAAAUUCUAUUAUGUGCGGAAUGGCAAUCUUGGUGGGUCUGCUCCUACAGGCAACCAUUAUUUGCAGCCGUAAGGUGGAGUGAGGGUUUUGAUGCGGUAUGCUUUGAGGUUGAUCUGAACUUUCAUAGUACAAUCAGAGGUUAAAUUUUGUGUGAAAGUUGCAGAUUUGGGCUUCAGCUCCCUAUGGGAGAAGAGUAAAAUUACGCUGUUGUUUUCUGAAAUAUUGCAUAGCCCCCCGACCUCCACCACCUUGAUAUUUAACAGUUUGUUUUGAUUUUGAGUGACCAAGUAAAUUUGAUUUGCCUAAUGUCUAUCUUUUUUUUAUUUUUUUUCUUUCUUUCUUUCUUUCUUUCUUUUUUUAGCUACUUGCUUUUGCUUCUCCUCUACUUACCACUAUAAUUUUAUGGCCUUUGAAUCAUUUGAAGCAUUUUGGUUGUUUUCAUUUUAGUCUUUACUGUGUCGUGAUUAUCUAACAAACUCUUUAGGUUAGCUGCAAAAGAAGUGCCUUUUAUUGUUGAACUACAAUGGGGGUGCCGUAUGCUGCUCUUGUUGUUGCUAUUAUUAUUAUUAUUAUUGUUGUUGUUGUUGUUGUUGUUGUUGUUGUAGUUCUUCUUCUUCUUCUCUUAUGUUGUUGAACUAUAGAAGGGGUGCUUCUUCUUCUUCGUCGUCGUCCUGCUCCUCCUCCUCCUCCUCCUCCUCUCCUAUUCUUGUUGCUAUUAUUAUUAUUAUUGUUAGAAGGGGUGUAAAGUCUCAUCUUUCAUUUUUUGGCUGGAAAAAGUGGUAAAGUUGGAAGACUUUGCAUUCAAGUAUCUCCUGCACUGCAGGACUAUUUUGGCAGGGGCUACUCGGCAGGCAACCAUUUUGCAUUCAGAUUGACAUUACAGAUAUGAGGGACUAGUGCACAAUAUCCAAGAUUCGAGGGAAUCACAUGCCUCCCAAAAUGAGAUAGAGAGAGGGAGAAAAACUCUUAUUAUCGAUGAAUCGGCAUCUCUGAAACAUGGUCAAAUUAGAGAAAAGCUUUCUAAGAAGAGAGGCGAUGAUGGUUCGUAAUCCUCCUCUCAUGCUCUGCCACUCCCUGAUUUAGUAAUGGCGUGGCAACCCUGGAGGUAUAUUGUCUUAAGGUGACAAUUACAUGUUGUGGUUGUGAGACUGGUUUGUGGACAACAAAUGGCAACCAGGUUGGUAUUCAUUGCUAGGUGGGAGUGGUGAAGACCGAAGAUAGGAGGGAGGCUAAUGGAAUAGUUCCCCUGAGCCUCUGCUUCUAAAUCCUGUUUUAUUGUUCUAUGAAUUAUGAAGGCUUUUUGUGGACUUCUGUCCAUGCAUCUUGUGCAGGUAAUAAUUUCUCGAGCUUAUCUUUUUCUGAUAAGGUUGAGGAUUUUCCAUCUUGAGGACAAGGUGGCUAUCGAGGGCGGUGGAAUGACAUAUUCCUAGAUUAGGCUUUUUUAAUUAUGAAAUAAUAUAUUAUUUAUUUUAAAACAUUUCAGUUAUUUUCAAUAAAAUGUAACUAGGGUUAGGUUAUAUAGAUGUGUAUCUUCUAGGGUUUGGAGAAUAAGAAGAAUUUGACCAUCUUGUUCUAUCUUCCCUCCCGUUCUCUUCCCCCUUAUCUAUUUUUAUCUCUCUAAUAACUCUCUCUUUCUUUAGGAGGUUCGAUUCUCUCGAAGUGAUCGUUAAUCCUUAUCGAUACGGUAGAACUGUCUGUAUCAUCAGGCCAAAUUUCGUAAAUAAUUUUUUUGAAGGACUAUUUUUACAAUUAUAAUAUGUUAUAAGUCUAUUAAUAAAAGAAAAGUCAACCAACCAUCGUAAUCAAAAUAAUCAAAUGCAUAUCAAACGGCACAAACGGCAAUCUAAUCAUUUAUUACAAUCCAAACUUAAUUAAUCAGAGAGUCAAACACAUAUCAAAAUCGCACAUAAAGAAAAAAAAGCACAUCCUGACACGUGUACAGAAUACGGUAACGAACGAGAUGUAUACCUUCGCCAGGUGAAGACAAUCUUCAAUACGUCCAUGUCGAGAAGGACAAUGCGGCGGCGGCGGCGGCGGCGGAUGCCGGGCGAAGACGGGGGGAAGGAUCGGACUUCAGGAGGAGCAAGGGCUUCGCGAACAGAGUCAGUGCGAAGAGACAGGAGAAGGAGACUCCGCCGCCGCCGAUGCCGGGUGAAGACGGGGGGAGGAUCGGACAAGGGCUUCGGGAACAGAGGCGCCGAUGCCGGGCGAAGACGGGGAGAGGAUCGGACAAGGGCUUCGGGAACAGAGGCGGUGCGAAGGGACGGGGGAGAAGGAGACUCAGACUUGCUGUGCACGUUUUGAUUUUAGUUUUAGAAAAACUUCAAAUGCCAUCCUUGUGGUUUUAUAUUUUCUGACUUUAAUAUUCUAUAAUUUAAAUUUAAAGUGUAUUAAUUUAGUAUUUUACGAUUUUAUUUUUAUUUUUUUAUUAUAAAUUUUAUUAAUUUUUUUCGUUAAAUCAGUGACAAAGUUAAAACUAAACGGUAUUAAAAUGAAUGUUCGAUAAACCUAGGUGGGGUAUCUAAAAUUUUUUAUAUAUAUUUUAACGAAAUAUUAACGAAAAAGCUAACGAAAAAAUAAAAAUAAAACCGCAGGACACUAACUAGAUACACUUUAAUUAUAGGGUACUAAAAUAAGAAAGUGUGAAACCACAUGAGUGAUUUUUGAAUUUCACCCUUUAGUUUUCAGUUUUUAGUUUUUUUAUUUUAGCAGUGGACGGUGGUGUCGGAUGCUUUCCAUACGUGCGCCACAGGCCGAUACAGACUUGGCAAAAGCCAAAACCACCUGAGGAACAAAUCACAAUCCCAGUGACGCUUCUGCCCUACUUUUGGAACAAAAUGCCAAAAAAACAGCAAAAAACUUUAAACUAAUGUAAAAAGGGUUAAUUACACCGAUGGUCUCAAAUCUUUGCACUAUUUUUCACUUGGGUCCCCAACUUUUUUUUUUGCAAUUGAGUCCCUAAUCUCUUGAUUUUAUUACAAUCACGUCCCGCCGUAAAAAAUACUGUUAAAAUUAAUGGAAUAGAAUAGGCAUCCUUUUGCAUGUUAAUUUUGGUCCAUAAACUUUGCACGUUUUUCACUUUAGUCCCUAAAAAAAAUUUAAAAUUUUAAUUUGAAAUUCAAAAAUAAUAUUAAAAUUAAAAUUUUAAACUAACGAGAAAUUAGAAAUUUGAAUUUGAAUUUAAAGCUAAAUUAAAAUCUUGAAUUGAAAUUUAAAUUUUAAAUUUGAAUUUUAAAUUGAAUCUAAAAUUUGAAUUCAAACUUAAAGUUUUGAUUUUGAUAUUUCAAUUUACAUUUAAAAUGAAAGUUUUGAAAUUGAAAUUUAAAUUUAAAAUCGUAUUCAAAAUUUUGAUUUUAAAUUUAAAUUUGAAUUCAAAAUUUAAAUUUAAAAUUAAGAUUUGAUUUCAAUUCUAAAUUUGAAUUUAAACAUCGAAUUCAAAUUCACAUUUUGAUUUGAAAUUUCAAAUCAAAGUUUGAAAUUAAAUUAGAAUUUAAAAUUCGAAAUGUGAAUUCGAGUUUAAAAUUAAAAUUUUAAAAUUAAAUGUAAAAUCAGAAUUUGAAUUCAAAUUUAAAUUUGAAUCCAAAAUCAAAAUUUAAAUCUUAAAUUAAAAAUCUUGCUUUAAAUUUAUAAAUGUAAUGGGUUAAUUACACCAUUGGUCCUCAACCUUUACACAAUUUUUCAAUUUAGUCCUCAACCUUUUUUUUUUUUUGCAAUCCGCUGACACCCGCCUCUGUGGCGCUGACACGGCGCCUCCGUGGCGCUGACAUGGUGCUGACGUGGUAUUUUCCGUCAAUUUUAAUACCUUUUUGACGGCUGGGACUUAAUUGUAAUGAAAUCAAUAUAUUAGAGACUUGAUUGCAAAAAAAAAAAGAUUGGGGACCAAAUUGAAAAAUAGUGCGAAGGUUUGGGACCAAUGGUGUAAAUAACCCAAUGUAAAAAAGAUUAUAAACUUUAGUUUUCUUUUUUGUUUUUUUUUUUUCUAAUUAGGAUCUUAUUAUUCUAUUUGAAUUUGGAUUCUAAUUCGGUUUCGGAUUUUGAGUUCCGAAAUUUUUUGGAUUCAAAUUCAGAUUUACUAUUUUUUGCCCCAACUCAUAUUCAGAUUCGGAUUCGGAUUCGAAUAUGCAAUUUUAAAAUAUCCCAACAAAACUCUCACAACUUUUUUUUAUUUUAGCUUUAAAUAGAAUUGGAUUCGGAUUCGAAUUCGGAUUCGAAUAUGCAAUUUUGAAAUAUCCCAACAAAACUCUGACAACUUUUUUUAUUUUAGCUUUAAAUAGAAUUAGGCUGGUAUACUAUCGGUAGUACGGAGGCCUCCGUACUACAAAAUUGUUUUCAAUGAUGCGGCUUCCAAAUCGACGAUCGGCUCCGUUAGAUUUCAUAUACGCUAUUGAAAGUAUUUGAAAACUAAAUUUCAUAAUUUUUCGACAUCAUUUGCCUAGUGAUCAAAAGGUAUCAAAAUUGACAAUUUCAUAAUUUUUCGACAUCAUUGGCCCCAAUUUCCCUUUCAAUUGCCAAAAAUCAACAAAGAUUAACACUGUAAGUCAUAAAAUUGUGAGAUUACCUCAAACUUUGCAUUCGGUUCCGAACGCCACUCUAUUAGCGGCAAAGCAUCAAUGGUAAAGCAGCAACCAGGAGAAGAACAAAAAUAUAAAUGACACCUUGAGAUUCUAGAAUUCGCAAACCAUGUACCUUGAAAUUAAACUAAACCAAAAGCAACUCCAUCUACGAGAAAUAAACCUUCACGUACGGAUCGGAAUAGCAAUUCCAACUGUUUGUUUAGCAUGACCAUUUUCUCUAUCGCAAGAAGCAAACAACAGCAUUUGAAACAGGAAAAGCCCUCGGCUCUUUCUAUGGCAGCAAACUGAAAUAAAAUUUCAUUGGCUUGUCUGUCUCCAAAGAACUAAGUAGGAUUUAUUUCUCACAAAUAUAAAGGCCAACAAGCAAACUCAACAUAUUGUUAUAUUUCAACUGCCUUUCGGACAAAUACCAAUCAGAAAUUAGCAGAAGCCAAUACCGCUUAGAAUAUAAGGGCAACAUAUUUGCCUAAGCUAUGUGUUUUACACUGCAAAGUUUUGUAUCUCACACCGAACCCUACAAGUAGAUAAAUUUGACUCUUCACGAGAGCACCGACAAACUCCCAUAUUCAGGAAAAGUAGCAUCUUUUAUUUGUUGAGGCAAAGAUAAGAAGAUAAAAUGACACAAUAUAACUUGUUAAAGCCUCCAAAUUACUAACACUAAUAACUAAGAACUUAAAAUAAAGAAAAACCAGCAAUCGAAAAAAAAAAAAAAUUUACCACCAUUAUUCACGACCAAACAGCACCUGAAUGGGGAAGGCCUGGUGUAGAGCAUGACAUUCCGCCUGCAAAGCAAAUAAGGAAACAUCUAGUUGUGUUAUUGCAAAGAGACAGAAAAUUUAAACAAACAAGUAUUGCUAAUUAUAUUUCAUUGAUUAGCAUAAUCAUAUAAAGAUAACAUGGAGAAUGUUAUCCAACACUUUAUCACGAAUACUAUCAAGAAGCAUCAGAAACUAUUAUGCAACAAUUGAUAUGUAGGAAAUAAUUAGCAUCUCUUCCUGAAUCUUGUGAGAAUCAGUAAAAGAUAUAGUCCUCCUAACAAUUCAAAAGCCUCAUCCAAAUUCCUAAUUUUACAAGUCCAAGAAAUUACCAAUUUGGACAAAUAUAUAGCUAGCUAAUUGUGGUAGCUGAAAUUUUUUUCAUGAAAAAAAAUUAACACAAUGAGGAAAAUAUAGAAACUUAACAUAAAACAAAGUUGAACAUUGAUGUAACUAAGCAUUGGAAGUAGAAAUACAAGACGAACAGAAUAAAUAAUUUUAGCAUAGGAAACCUCAUUCUCCCUUUCCACAACAUAUCGCAUGUCACAUCGUUACAAAUAUCGAAUUAAAUAACAAAUGCUCUGAUUAAUUUAAAUACUAUAUACACAAACUAUAACCUAACUAUACAAACAAAUAAAUAAAAAUGUACCUCUACUAACUCGCAGUGGGCUUGAGUCUACAAAGAGCAACUUUAAUGUUACGUUGCACCCCAUAAAGCACCUUCGCCUGGAAGAUUUUCGGCUCAGCUUCACCGUCAACUGCUUGGAAGGUAACAUAGUACCAAAGUCCUGUUGCGACACUACACGUUGCCUUCUCUAUUUUUACAAACACGUAACUCAUAUCCUACAUUAUAAAAAACAUCAUAAAAUCAAUUUUAUCAAACAAAAAUAAAGACACAAAGAAAAAAACAAUAGGAAAAGACAUACACAAGGGAACAUGAACAUACAUUUUUCUUAUUAAAAUGUUCGAUUGCCAAUUUAGUACAUCUGAUAAGAAUUUCAUCAUCAAAAUCCGUGAUCGCCGUAAGGCCAAACUCACACGUGCCUGGAAAUGGAUCAACAUCGAAUCCCUGUAAAAGACAUGUAUUAACAAUUAGUGAAAAAAAAAAAGGUUGUGAAGCUUUAACUCUCAAAAAGAAGAUAAUAAUUAUUAAACACCUCGCUUUCCUUGAUUUGUUUGUAAUAUCUAGCCCAUUCUUCGUGAGUCCUACUGCGAUUACCAUUCGGCCAAACGUAAACCUUAUCUUCCUCUGAAGUUGCUCAUAAACCCUUUGAUCCUUCUCGUUCCCUUUCUCUUCCUCUAUUUCACUUUGGAUUUCUUCCUCCUUGCCCUCGUCCCUCAUCUCUUCGCUUUCUUCGUGCAGUUUCAACUUCUCCUACAUCGACUCUUCAGGUAUCAGCUUCUUAGCAUUCUGCUAUAUCACAAAAUGAAAUACAUCUAUACAUAAAAAAUUUAAAUAAAUUUCAAUCAAAACUGACGACAAAUUAAAAAAAAAAUUCUUAAAUUGGCUCAAAUAAAAGAAGAAUUUAGCCGAUGCAUACGAAAUAGAGUCCAAACAGGGCAGAAUUCAGGUGAUACAUUCCUAGAUUAGGAUUUUCUAAUUACGAAAUAAUAUAUUAUUAUUUUAAAAUAUUUCAGUUGUUUCCAAUAAAGUGUAAUUAGGGUUAGGUUAUAUAAAUGUGUAUUUUUUAGGAUUUGGAGAAUAAGAAGAAAUUGGCCGUGUUGUUCUAUCUUCCAUCUUGUUCUCUUCCCCCUUAUCUAUCUUUAUCUCUCUAAUAUCUCUCUCUUUAGGAGGUUCGAUUCCCUCGAAGUGAUCAUUUACCCCUAUCGAUACGGUAGAAUCUUGUUCUAUCUCCCCUCCCGUUCUCUUCCCUCUUAUCAAUCUUUAUCUCUCUAAUAUCUUUCUCUAGGAGGUUCGAUUAUCUCAAAGUAAUCGUUUAUCCCUACCGAUACGGUAGAACCGUAUCAUCAGGCCAAAUUUCGUAAACAAUUUUUUUGAAGGAAUAUUUUUAUAGUUAUAAUCUAUUACUCUUUAUGAAUCCCCAAUGUUUUAAGCUGAUGUGUCAUAACCUCCUAAUUUUGAAUUUUUUUUAAUUUAGAAUGAUCAAUUUUAUUCUCUCUCUCAACAUACGUCUCUUCAUCUCCCCCAUUUAAUUUUUAUUUAGAAUGAGUCAUUUUACUCUCUCUCUCAACAUACGUCUCGUCAUCUCCCCUAUUCAAUUUUUAUUUAGAAUUAGCCAUUUUACUCUCUCUCUCUCAACAUUCGUCUCCUCAUCUCCCUCAUUUUAUUCUCUCUUUCUUAACAUACGUCUCUUCAUCUCUUCCAUUUAAUUUUUAUUUAGAAUAAGCUAUUUUACUCUCUCUCUCCAUCGUUGGUAGAUGUACCAAGUGAGAUAUACAAAAAAAUAUUUAAUAUUUUAUUAUUAUUAAUUACUACUAUAGUUUCUAUCCGCUGCAAAGCGCGGGACUCUUCACUAGUAUGAUAUAAGUCUACUAAUAAAAGAAACGUCACAAACAAACGGCAUUCUAAUCAUUUAUUACAAUCCGAACUUAAUUAAUCAGAGAACCAAACACAUAUCAAAUCGCACAUUCAAACAAAAACAAAAAAAAAGAAAGCACAUUCUAACACAUGUGUACGGAAUAUGGUAACGAACGAGAUGUAUACCUUUGCCAGGUGAAGACAAUUGUAAUGUCUUGAAGAAUAAGUAGUUUAAUAGUUAGUAGGGGAAGGAAGUAAAAAUGUCAACUUUACAAUAGUAAGACCAGAAAUAAGGACGGAAGUAGUAGGCGGAUCGGGCGGUCGAAUUACCGGAUCGGGCGUAAAACGCAGACCCAAGCCCCGCCGGGUUGCGGGUGAUGCGGAGAAGGCAGGAACCGACGCCCACUUACCGUUAUGCAUGGGUCAGGCGAACCGGAGCUCGGAUCGAGGCGAAAUGGCAAACCCAAGACCUGCAGGGUUGCGGGUAGUGAGGAGAAGUGCGGACCCGAGUCCGUUUGCCUGACAAUCAGCAGAAGAGAUCGGGAAAGCCCGGGAAAGGGCCCAACUACCAUGAGAUUUCAGCCCAUACGAGUUUUUCCUCAAUUUAUCACUUUUGCUGUUUAGCCCUCAUAGACUAGGUGCGUUUUUAGUUUAGUCCAAAUUACCAAGUACUAUAAAUACCAAAGUAUAAUGUAAACAGGGUAUCAAUAAAAUGAAAUAUUGAAUCUGCUUCUUCCCCAAACUCUCUUCUUCUCUAAACUCUCUUUUCCCAACUCUUAUCUUUUCUCUACCUCUCAUCCACACCAUGUCUAAACUCUAAACACAAUGAAUAAUUCGCCGUGUUUAAAAAAAUACAAUUAUAUGUAUUACGAAAAAAAUAUAAGUAUUAAAAAAAGGGAAUACAAAAAAUAUAAGCACGGAACAUGGUGAAUGGACCAUUCACCGUAAUUGAACACGAUGAAUGAUUUACCGUGUCUAAGAAAAAUAUAUCAUUUACCGUGUUUGAAUGCGGUGAAUGAUUCACGGUGUUCAACUUAUCACCCCUCCAGCUUUUACAAAAAUAAUUUAUAAAAUUUAAAUUUUAUAAAAAUAUAUUUGUUUGUUAUAAUCGGAACGACGAAAAGUAGAUCCAGAAAAUAAUUUAAUGCAGGAAAAGAAAAGAUAAGGAAAGAGUACACCGAUAUUUACGUGGUUCGGCCAACAGCCUACGUCCACGGGCGAAGACGGAGCAAAUACUUUGUUAAUGUCGAAAAGGCGGAAUACAAAGAAGAUUUCUCGAAAAAUAACCAAAGCUUAAUUAGAUCGAAACGCCGCAACAAGCAACUCCAAAAUUGGCUUCUCUCUCACCCGUACGACGUAUGGCUAAAUUAAAGUAGCCGCGGAUUCUUGACCGUACGAAACGUGCAUAGCUUGGCUUAAUUAGAGUGUGGCUUCUAAUCAGCCGCAGCUCCUGACCGUACGGACCGCAAGACCAACAUGGAUUGCUUAAUUAGAGCCCCGGCAGCUCAGAAUAAUUAGCACAUGGCAUCUAAUUUUGGUCGCGGCAUUAUUAACUUAGCCGUAGCGUAUCUAUUACUCUAUGUGAAUUCCCAAUAAUUUUGCCACGUGGCAAGUUUUUCUCCACUCUCACUAAUCUUUUUUUUGAAUUGAUUUUUACUCUUGGCUUUUCCACUCCCAUCUUCUUUAUUCAAUGACAUGUAAUUAAUGUGCUUUUUAAUUUAUACGUUUCCUAUUCAAAAUUACUUUUUUUGAAUUGAUUCUUACUCUUGGCUUUUCUCCUCCCCUCCUCUCUAUUCAAUGACAUAUAAUCAAUGUGCUUUUUAAUUUAUACGUUUUCUCUUCACAAUUAGUCCUUUCUUCUCCCACAAAUAAUUCCUAACAUGCAAAAUUAGAAAAGGAGAAGAUGAAUAGUUACUACUUUCAGAUCUAGAGAUUGGGGAAUAGUAAGGGAGUUUUCCAAGCUCUAAUCCGUGCCAAUCCGACUCGACCCGAACCCCCCCCCUCCGAAUCAAAAGAGUGUUUAUAGGGUUUCUAUUAAUGCCGAUCUCUUCGGAUUUAUGGAAAAAUAAGGUAAUCGAACGGUUUUUCAAUAGAGAAAGCUAAUUGGAGAGCAAUAAUGGACGGUUCGAGGGGUAGGUUUGGAAAACGAAAAUCCUAAACCUAAUUUUUCUUUUCUUUAUUUUAAUCUCGAAUUCUUACUAUGUAUUCAUUUAGAAUUUAAUUUAUUUGCAUUAUUUUUUAUAUGGUGAUUGUAUCAAUUAAGGACUUGAUUUAUAUGCAUUAUUUUGAUUAAUUUAGAGGUUAUUUUUUAUUUCAUAAUUGAUGUGGCAGGUUUGGCCCACAACUUUUGAUCAUUCCAUGCUCAAAAGGGUGCAAAAUUUUGCAAAUUUUUAUCAGAUUUUCAUCGCCAUCGUCGUCAUCAUCGCAACAUUAUUAUCUCCAUCUUCAUACGACCUUUGUAGGUUUUUUUUUUUUGAAUGUUGAUUCUGGGCAGUUAUCAAUUUUCAAUGGCUAUAUUGGUUAGUUCAAUUCAUACGUUUCCCUACCCAAAAAAUAAAACACUCUUAAAUUUUUAUUUUCCAAACUUCUUUCUUCUUACUCUUCAAUAUUUUUUAAUUUUUUUUCUAUUAUUUAUCCGCGGCAUCGCGCGGGUUAGUACACUAGUAUAUAUAUAUAAUACAUGUUUUCUAAUUAAAGUCUAAUUCUAAUUAGAUUAGAAUUACACUCCUAAUUAUAAUCUAUAAAAUAUAUAUGCUAAAUUAAAUCUAAAUUAUAUCCAAUCCCAAAUAAAUUAGGAUUUAACUCUAAUUUAGAUAACUACAAAUCUAAACCAAAUAUAAAAAUAAUUUACUAUAUUUUGGCAACCUGUAUGUAAUUAACCUAAAAAUUUUCGUCUUAUGAGUGGAGGAGGACAUCAGUAAUUAAAGGGCUUUCUUUGCAAAUAGCCCCCUGAAAAAUUUUAUUUGCGCAAAUAGCCCCGUCUAAAAAUUAUUUGCAAAAAUGGCCCUGGCCCUGCCACGCCAGCGCCACGUCAGCGCCACGCGAGCAGGGCCUGGGCCAGGUGGCUAAGUUGAACACGGCAAUUGGUUCACCGUGUUUAGACACGGUGAACCAAUCACCGUGCUCAUUGUAUUACUCCCGCCCACGACGGGGUGUUAGUAUUACAUUAGACACGGUGAUUCGUUCACCGUGUCUAAACACGGUGAACCAUUCACCGCGUCUAAACACGGUGAACUAUUCACCGCGUUUAGACACGGUGAACCAAUCACCGUGUCUAAUGUACUACACACCAUUUCGCGGGUGCCAAAUAAGGCAUAGAACACGGUGAUUGGCUCACCGUUGUAUUAGACACGGUGAACCAAUCACCGUGUCCAAUGUAUCACUCCAGCCCAAGGCGGAGGGUUGGUACCACACUUAAACACGGUCGAUACGUUCACCGGGUCUAAACAUGGUGAACUGUUCACCGCAUUUAGACACGGUAAACGGUUCACCGCGUAUAGGACACGGUGAACGGAUCGCCGUGUCCAAUGCAUGGGCCGGGUGCGGCUGCGAGAAAAUCUAACACGGCCUGGCCCAGUUCGUUAACCAAGCGCCUAUGGCCCAAUAAAGAAAGUCGGGCCAGAUCUAAAAGUGCGGCUGCGAGAAAAUCUAACACGGCCUGGCCCAGGAACCGAAUCAAUGCACGGGCCGGGUGCNCCUGGGCCAGGCCGUGUUAGAUUUUCUCGCAGCCGCACUUUUAGAUCUGGCCCGACUUUCUUUAUUGGGCCAUAGGCGCUUGGUUAACGAACUGGGCCAGGCCGUGUUAGAUUUUCUCGCAGCCGCACCCGGCCCAUGCAUUGGACACGGCGAUCCAUUCACCGUGUCCUAUACAACCCUAUACCCCGAAAAUGGCUAAGUCUGGUAAACCCUAAACCUUCGAAAAUGGUUAAGUCUGGUAAACCCUAAACCUUGAACUAACUGAAUUGGACACGGUGAACCAUUCACCGUGUCCAAUACAACUAGCCACACCUAAGCCGUAUUUGGCCAAAUAUGGAAGUAAAGGACACGGUGAUUAGUUCACCGCGGUGAAUAGUUCACCGUGUUUAGACACGGUGAAUGAAUCACCGUGUUUAGACACGGUGAACGAAUCACCGUGUCUAAUGUAAUACUAACACCCCGUCGUGGGCGGGAGUAAUACAAUGAGCACGGUGAUUGGUUCACCGUGUCUAAACACGGUGAACCAAUUGCCGUGUUCAACUUAGCCACCUGGCCCAGGCCCUGCUCGCGUGGUGCUGAUUUGGCGCUGGCGUGGCAGGGCCAGGACUAUUUUUGCAAAUAAUUUUUAGAUAGGGCUAUUUGCGCAAAUAAAAUUUUUCGGGUGGCUAUUUAAUUGAAAUUUUCGUCUAAUAAGUGAGGGAGGAGGCCAUCAGUAAUUGGUGUAUUCUAGACUCUUUCGUGUCUUCGGGAGGUACAAGGCGUGCUCCUUUUCUUGCUAUGACGAACUCCCACAUCACCAAAGAGAGGGGAAAAAAAAAAAAAAAAGGAGGGAGAAAACACAUUUCUCUCUCCUUUGAUCCUUUCCCGGAAACCAAACAUCGCAUUACAGAAUCUGGCAAUGGCGGGGCAGCGCGCUGGAUGNGGCCAUCAUUUAUAAUGAUGAUGAUUAUCAUCAUAAUCUUUAAAGGCGCUUCGACUUCAUGUGAGGAUGCCUCCGUUGUCGACGGCAUUGGAUCAGCAUCUUCUUGCUCCCUUUCAUAUUUUUUGAUCCUGGCUGAAGUAACUAUCAUCAUUUUUUCUUUUUCUUUUUAUUCUACUUCUCCAUUUCUCUUCUUGAUGCCUCCUCUUCCUCCUCCUUGUUGUUGUUACUGUUACUGUGUUCGUGUUGGUGUUGGUGUUGGUGGUGGUGGUGGUGGGGGUGGGUGGAGCCUACCGUCUCCCCGCCCUAUCCUGAAAGGUUUCAGGAAAACCCACAAAACUUCGCCUUUCGGGGUAAAGAUGUAUAAAACUUUCCGCAACUAUCAUCCUUUUCGAUCUGACUACCUAACAGUUAAAAGUUUGGAUUUUACUACCCGUUCUUUCAAUUUAUUUGAUUUAAGCCGAUUAGUAAGCAACUAUGAAUUCAUUAAAGUAAGCAAUUAGUUUAAAUUUUGAAGUCCGAUUAUCGUUGACCGACUCAAAUCGAACAAAUUGGAAAGUUCGGUGGUAAAAUCAAAAUUCUGGGAGGUCGGGUGGUCGACUCAAAAUGAGGCAUUUAGGUUCUCGCAGUUGGUGCUUGGCAUGGUCAUGGUAAUCUUGGAAGGCUCUGCUCUUCUACAGGCAACCACUUUUCCAUGCGAUGUCUUGUGGUGUACUGCAGUACUGUGUUUCGUACCAAUUUUUCCGUGCAGGUGUUUUGGAGCGGAAAUUGGAAUCAUGGUAGAUCCGACUGGAACCGUUGGGUUUGCUUAGACUUGCUGAAAUCACUUCAAACCGGUGGAAAUCAAUUCAAACCACACCUGCUAAUGUUUCCAAGGAUUUACAUGUUCUUGGUUGCAAUUUCAUCCAAAUCAGUGAUUUGGAGGAUCCGAAACUGGGUGCAAAGGAGGCUGUGAUGGUUGCCAACCUGGGUGCUAAUGCUUUGUCCAAGCCAUUUCUUCUUUACCCAGUGUAUACAGCGAAAACAGCUCUUUUAAUAUCAUUUCUUCUUCGGCAAAUUGGAUGGUCUGCUAAUUUAGCAGGCAACCUUAUGCUAGCAUCCAUUGUUAUGGUGCAUGGAUUUUAUGAUGCUUUCUGAGUAAGGCCGGGGAAAUGGUUGUGAACAAACAAAUUGAGGCUUUCGGUGGGUCUCUUGCUGUGUCAUCAACCAUAAUAUUGAUUAGCGACAUAUUGCCGUUCACUCAACUUAAUUGGCUUGUGAGACUUGAUAGCAACAAUCAAGAAAGUUCGAGUCGAAAUUGCAACAAUUAUAUUUUGAGGACUAAAGUGUUACCUGCCUCAUUGUUUGAGGACCAAAAGUGUAAUUUAGCCUUAUUUUAUCUAACAAACCACUGAGCAGGUAAGAAUUUUCUUGCUAAAUUGCAUGUUUGGUCCUCAAACAAUGUGUAACACUUUGGUUCUCAAACUUUAAUCUGUUACAAUCUAGCCUGAACUUUUUGAAUUGUCGCAAUCAAGUCCUGCAAUCCAAUUUAGAUGACUAAAUAUUGAUGCAUCAUUGAUGUAAUAGUGAUGUGACAUUUUAUUUUUUGUCUCAUCAUCAAUUACCAUAUUGCUACCGUCACUUUCACAUUACCGACAUAUCAAUAUUUAGUCAACUAAAUUAGAUUGUAGGACUUGAUUGCAACAAUUUGAAUCAGAAAUUACAAUAAAUUAAUGUUUGGUCCUUGUCAUGUGUCUCAAAGUUUGAGGACAAAAUGUGCAAUUUACCCUAAUUUUCCUCAUCUCAGUGGCAGCUCUCAAUUGGAAGGUCUGCUGUUUUGCAGGCAACCUUGUUCUGUCAUUUGUCUUCAAGGUGCAUAAGACUCUCAUGAUGCCUCUUGAUAUGAUCAAAUGGCAUGUUGAACCCUCUCUUUCCUUCUACUUGAAACAUUCGUUCUACUUUCUUUUCAGCUUUUAAUAUUUCUCAUGUCGACCGUCCGUGUGUCCUCAUGUUGACUGUAUGCUUCAAUCAGACAGGCACUUAAUGUUUUAUCCCAUGUUAAGUAUUUUUUUCCCUUCAUUUUACUUGUCAAAGGAGGCUGUGAUGAUUGUCGGUUGGGAAUGCACCUCAGCUUAUUUUAUCCCGGCUUUUGCUUCUCGGCGGAGUACAGAAGCUGAUAAGGAUACUGGAUAUAAGAGGCAAUAUAGUCAACUCAAACCUAAGAUUUUGGUUGGGUUUUGACAAGUCGGGUGGGAUUUGAAUCUGGUUUGUUAGUUUGCUUUGUCCUUUUACAACCCUUGGGAGCCUUUCACUUUGUUCAUUUGUGGGAUAGACAACAUCUCAGUGGGUGGUUUUUGGCUGACAUGAUGCACCAGGUGCAGGCAAUAAUUUUUCCUUUCUGGGCAGCUCGUGAGGCCAACAUUAAGUACCCGUAGCAGUAUUUAAUUGGAAGGCCUUGCAGGCAAGCCUAUGCUGUCACGUCUUUAAGGUGCAUGAGAUUACAAGAUCCCUCAUGUGGUGAUUAAGCGGCAUGUCUGAGUCUCCAUUUUAUUUUCCUACUUCCUUUUUAGCUAUUGAGAUUUGGUUGUUCACGUUUGUUUUCCCCCUCGCUUUCUUACUGCAUAUAGAAGCUAGGAUGGGUUGUUUUAAAUAUUCCUUAUCAAACCGUUGAAACAUGACUUCAUGCUGGUUGAUGGUAAAUUUUCUAUCCUAUAUGUAUUCAGAUCAGAGGGAAUUUGUUAAUCUUUCGGAUUUUGAUAAGAACUAAAUAUAAGAAAGAUUUGGAUGCUAGGUAUAUAAAUAUUUGGGUUAAUUUCUUCAAUCCCUUCCUUAAAGAUUGUAAUUUCAUAAAGACUCCUUCAAAUUGUAAAGGGUUUAGGGUUGCAUGCAUACAUCUCUCUCUUUUGCAUCUGAUCGACAUCAAGUUUCUAUAUUUAUAUUGGGUUUCUUUGCAUUUUAAAGUUAUACAAAAUUGUUGCAGGGCAUGCAAUCAAAACGGUUGCUCAAUCAAUAGCUUCACUUGAGCCCUAUUAUGUUAUUUGAUAAAGUUUUGGGAUUUAUUUGUUAAAAAGUAGAAGUUUUAGCACCUGUUUGCAAAAGUGUUAGAGUUUAGGGAGGCUUUGUACAUUGUUUCAAUUAUUAAUGUUUACUAAAAAAUGUAUGUUGGGCGCAAACAUUGCAUCCUUUUGGGCUAUUUAGAGAGGCAAAAUACUGUGAGCCCUCAAUUACGGAUGUAUGGGUAUGCCUUCGAGGCGAUACGAGCUAGAGAGCCUAUGUUGGGGGAAAAACAAAGUACUGGGCGUGCUCCCUUCUUGCUGCAAGCUCCUCUGUCUCUUCACUCCCACACUGAGAAACCAAACACCCCCUUAGAGAAUCUGGUAUUGGCGGGGCAGCAUUGGAUGGUUUGCUGUUUGUAGGCUACUGAGCUGCAGCCAUUAUUCCAGAAUUGGUGCGGCAACGGCAGCGGUGGCGAUCAUUUUGUGGCCAUCAUUUAUAAUGAUGAUGAUUAUCAUCAUAAUCUUUAAAGGCGCUUCGACUUCAUGUGAGGAUGCCUCCGUUGUCGACGGCAUUGGAUCAUCAUCUUUUUGACACCUCUCAUAUAUUUUGAUCCUGGCUGAAGUAACUAUCAUCAUUUUUCUUGUACUUAGCCAUUCUUUGCUUGAUGCCAUUUUGUUGUUAUUGUUAUUAUUAUUAUUAUUGUUAUUGUUAUUGUCGUAGUGGUGGUGGUCGUGCAGGUGGGUGGAGUCUGCUCUCUCUCUGCCCCCUGUGAAAAGGGAAACCCACAGAACUUCGUUCUGUGGGGUUGACCAAGCCUUCUCUCUCUCUCUCUCUCUCUCUCUCUCUCUCUCUCUCUCUCUAUAUAUAUAUAUAUAUAUAUAUAUAUAUAUAUAUAUAUUGAGUUCGGCUAUGGUGCUUUUAAAAGCACCAAGCACUUGGUCCUUGUAAGUUUUUGUAAGUUUCCCAUUGUUAGAUUUAUCUCUUUGACCAAUUCCACCCCUAAGAUUAUACUAUUCGACCAACUACCCGCUCAAAUCUUGGGGACAACUAUUAUCCUAACCCUACAAAUCUUCAUCCUAGGCCGAAAACCUACAAGCACCAAUGACUUGGCACUUUUAAAAGCAUAGGAGCUCAAUUCUAUCUAUCUAUCUAUCUAUCUAUCUAUCUAUCUAUAGACAUAUAUGUAUAUAUAUACAGUUUGUGUGUGGGGAAUAUAAGGGGAAAAAAAACAACAAUCAUGCCACAUGAGGCAUUAAGUUUUCAGCGGUUGGUGCAUGGCAUGGUAAUAUUGGAAGGCUUUGCUUCUCUGCAGGCAACUAUUUUUUCAUGUGAUGUCUUGCUUAGACUUGCUGAAAUUAUUGAGAACAAGCUUAUUAAAGCUUUCGAUGAGUCUCUUUCCACGUCAACAACCACAACACUGUCACAUUACUGUUGCAUUAGUGGGACAUUACCGAAAGUAAGUUGGCCUAUGAAACUUGAUUGCAACAAUCAAAAAAGUUUGAGCUAGAAAUUGCAGCUAUUAUGGUUUGAGGACCAAAAGUGUAAUUUAGCCUUAUUUUAUAUAACAAACGACUGGGCAAGCAAUAAUUUUCCAAUCUCGGCACCUAUAACUGCACUCAAUUGGAAGGCCUGCUAUUUUGCAGGCAACCUUGUUAUGUCGGUUGUCUUCAAGGUGCAUAAGACUAUAUGAUGCCUCUUGAUAUGAUCGAAUGGCCAGUCGGAGCCUCUCUAUCCUUCUACUUCCUUUUCAUCUAGUAAUAUUUCUCAUGCUGACUGUCGAUGUUCUCAUGCUGACUGUAUGCUUCAAUUAGACAGGCCCUUAAUGCUUCAUGCAAAUGUUAAGGAAGCGUCUCUCCUUUAUGUUACGUUUCGAAGGAUGUUGUGAUGAUUGGCGGUUGCGAAGGCACCUCAACUUGUUUUUUUCUUGGCUUUUGAUUCUUAGAGCGUGUUUGGUUCACUUCUUUUUCACUCUGGAAUCGAAAUCGGAAUGGGUGAAUCUGUUUGUGGGUGUUUGGUAUGCGGGAGUUCCAUUCCCAUUCCUAUUCCCGAGUGGGAUGGGAAUCCCCUAAUCAUCUCUUUUUCCAAUCCGGUCUAGUAGGCCGGAUUGACAGUUGAAUCCAGACGGAAUGGAUAUUUAUUCGGAUUAAAUUAAUUUUUUCAACUUUUUUAAAUUAAAAUAUGAGUUUAAAUUUAGAAAUUAAAUUUAUAAUUUUAAAUUUUAAUUUGAAUUUGAAUUAAAAAUUAAAAUUUAAUCAAUUAUUUUGAAUCUAACUUAUAAAUUUGAAUUUAAAUUAAAUUUUAAUUUAUAUAAAGUUUUAUUCAAAUUUUAUUUAAAACUUAAAUUAAAUUUAUGGAUUCAAAUUAAAAUUAAAAUUGUAAUUUUAAGUUUGAAUUUGAAUAAAUCGAAAUUUAGUUUUAUAUUUUGAAUUAUCCACUCAACUUCAAAGUUUAAUUUUUUAAAAAAAAAUAGAUUUAAAAUUUUGACAUUAUUUCAAAAUUUUGAUGUAAAUUUUUAAUAUUUAAUUUUCAGUUUGAAUUUAAAUUAAUAUAUUAUAAAGAUAAAGUUAGUAUAUUAAUUUGAUUACGUUUUUUAUAUCUAUCUGAACAAAACACCGACAAUGGGAAUGAUUUAUUCCGAUUCCGAUUCAGGUAAUGAAUCAAACAGAAUUAGGUAAUGAGUCAUUCCAAUUCUGAUUUCAGCUUAUUUCGAUUCCGAUUCUGAUUCCGAUUCCAACUUCGAACCAAACGCGCCCUUAAUGGAGUGCAGAAGCUGAUCGAAAUACUGGAUAUAAGAGGUAGUAUGGUCAACCCUAAAAACUGCACUUUUGCAUUAAAAAAAAUCCCUUUCAUGAAUAACUGUAGAAACGGAUGGUCUGCACUUUUGCAGGCAACCUAGCAGUUACAUGCUGUUUUUUGUGGUUUGUACUUUUAAGCUGUUUCUUUGCGACAUCAUUUGCCUAGUGAUCAAGCAAUGCCAAAUACAUCGUAUAUUAGACAUUAAAAUUGUUGAUUUCUGGACAACUUGACUACUUAGCAAAUGAUAUCAAAGAAUGAUGAAGUUUGAAACCUAGAAAGUUGAAAUAUCCUAGAUCAUGUUUGACGGUGCUGAUGGUCUAUCCAGAUGCCCCAUUAUCGGAAAUGACACGGAAGUGAGCUGUACUUGUAGAAGUAUUCUAGCCUCUCCUUUUCUCUCUCUCUCGAUCUCGAUUUUCUAGGUUGAAAUAUAGAGCAAAAAGUUGGUGGUGGCACUAUUAUGGAUCAAUAAGGUCUAAGGUUCACUUCUUGAAGAUCCCCCUGCUCCCCCCCCCCCCCUUCAAAAAUAAACAAAAAAAAAACACACACACACACACACACACACACACACACACACAAAAAGGAAAAAAAAAAAACUCAAAAUGCAGUUCCUCGUGGAAACUGGCUCCUGCUCGGCAUGCUAUCUUGAACGGCUAGCUCCGAUGCAGACAACCAAUAUUUGCAUCUAUACAGGGGAUUUUAAUCCUCAGUUUGCUAUUUUGAAGCAACAAGUGUCGGAUUGUACGUUAUCUGAAUGUACAUGUUCUUUGAGGAAUGGCUAUGAUGACUGCCUGGAUGCACCAGAACUGAAGCAUUUGACUGAAACGUAGCUUGGCAAUCUUUGGAAGGCUUGCAAUUCUGUGAGCAACCAUUAUGCAGCUGUUUGUGUAGUUCUGUGAAGAUUCUGAUGAAAAGGCCAGAUCUGAGCCACCUCCCUUCUCAGCAUCAUCUUCGUUAAAUUAUGAAAAGCUUUCUUGUACUUUAUCCUCUGUCACAAUUAUCUAACUGCUCGAGAAAGAUGGACUGUAGACAACCGUCCGCUUGUAGACAUCUUUGACUCUAUGGUAAACAGUUGCGACAUGUUUGUUGGGUAAAUGAAAGAAAUAUGUUGAACAAGAUGGUUGUGUGUCGAAAGAAAUGAUCUGUGCUGCUGUUUAAAGCUGCAUUCUUAUGUCUUUCCAUGUGGCAGCUGUGAUGAUUGCCAAGUAUGGAAGCAUCAAAACCCUUGAACAUUAGACUACACUUUGAUCUGCACAGCGUGGCAACUUUUGGACGGCUUGUUUAGCAAGCAUCCAUUUUGCGUUUGUAUGUGUAGUUCGCAAAUGCUCAUAAAAAUGGGGUGAAAAUGUGCAGAACUUAUCUGAACUAUGGACCAUUUCGAGAAAGGCAGAUUGUAGACAACCGUCCGCAUGUUUGUUGUGUAGACAUCUUAGACUCUAUGGUUAACAAUUGCGGCAUAUUUGUUGGGUAAAUAAAAGAAAUAUGUUGAUGGUCAUGUGUCAAUAGAGGCUCUAAAUUUGCACUUUUGUUCUGCGCCACAAAUGAGCUGUGCUGCUGUUGAAAGAUGCAUUGUUACCUCUUUCUAUGUGGUGGCUGUGAUGAUUGCCAUGUAUGGAUGCACCAAAUCCCUACAACAUUUGACUAAACUUUGAUCCGCACAGCUCGGCAACCUUAGGAAGGCUUAUUUUGCAAGCAUCCAUUUUGCUUUGUAUGUGUAGGUUUGCGAAUGCACACAAAAAUGGCAGAUCUGAGCCACAGCGUCUAAAUAUCUCCUUUUCCUUGUUUAGAACUAACAAUUUUUUACCCCUUGCUUGCUCUUGUUUAAAGAACUUCUGUUUGCUAAAUCGCCUCUUGCAACAAGGUGGUUAGUUGAUAAGAGGAAAAAUGUUCCUUUAUGACAAUAUAUGUUUUUGAAGUUUAGUGGUGAUAAUUACACCGCAGUUGGAGGGGGUUUGGCAUAUUUUUGUCUUUAAAUAUGGCCCGCAGGUAGUGUAGUUUUAACAGAGCAUUAGACCUGCCUGGCAGGAACAUUGGAUGGCCUGCUUAUAUGCUGGCAACCAAUUUUUGAUGCUGUAAGCUGGAGUUUGUACCGAGGUUCGUAUUAUUAGCGUUGAGCAUCGCGAUGUAACUUUUUGUAGUUGUACAGAGCCGAAGAAUUGCUCUUUUGCAUCCUUCUUCCUUAGUGGGUAAUCAAAAUUUCCACAAAAUUGGAACUUCAAAUCUCACUUCUUUCAAGUUUAUCCCCAAACCGGUUUUCUAUAAAAAUAAACUGAACAUGCGACUUCGGCAAUGCUGAGGACUCAUAGGGGUGACACGGUCGAAUACGGUCGGAUUUUUGAUGAAACCAUAUCCGUAUCCAUUUCGUAGGCUAAUUCGGGUAUGAUGAUGUUGGAUUCGAUCGGAUUUUAUCCUAACCAUUUUCACCCCUACUUGUGGUACAUUUAUUCAGAGGAAAAAUACUCUUGAGCCCUCCAAUGAGGGAUGGACGGAUGGAUGGACGGACGGGUACAUCGCUAAGGCGAUACGAAAGAGAGAACCCUGCGUUGGGGACAAGCAGAAAUGCAGGGAUGCUCCCUUCUUCCUGUAAGUCCCUCUGUCUCCUACUCUCUUCCACCCCAAAAAAAGGAAAAAAAAAAAAGAAAGAAAGAAGAAAGUCAUUUGUCUCGUUUCCCAUCUCUUCCUUUCCUCAAGUGUUUUUAGGUUAGACAGGGAAUGUGGUAAUGGCGGGGCAGUUCUGGACGGUCUGCUCUUCUGCAGGCUACUGAGCUGCAGCCAUUACUCCGGAAAUACAUUGGCGGGAGUGACGGUGGUCAUUCAUAAUGAUGAUGAUGAUGAUGAUGAUGAUGAUGAUGAUGAGGAUUAUAACCUUUGAAGGUGCUUCAGCUUUGUCUGAGGAUGCUUCCGGUGUCAAUGGCACUGGAUCAUGUUCCUCUUGAUACCUCACCUAUCUUCUUGAUACCUCACCUUUUUCUUGAUCCUCAUUAAAGCAGCUAUCAUUUCCUCCUACUUCCUUUCUUGAUGCCCUAUUGUUGUUGUUGUUGUUGUUGUUGUUGUUGUUGUUGUUAUCAUUAUUAUUAUUAUUAUUAUUAUUGUGGUGGUGGUGGUGGUGGGGGUGGAUGGAGUCUACCAUCUCCCUGCCCCUUCGUAAAAAGGGAAGCUUUCGUUUCUCGGGGUUGACCGAGCCCACACAUAUAUAUGUGUGUGUGCGCGCGUGCGCUUUUAGAAGCAUAUACUUUGAACUUUUGGACCCUUGGAUCCCUAUGGUUUACUAGCUAGUGAUGGUUAAAGUACGGAUCCAAGGGCUCAAAAGUUUAAGUUGUAACUUCUCAAAGCAGCAUAAGCUCUAUUCUAUAUAUAUACACACACACACACUGUUGGUGUUUGAGGGUUGGAAAAAAAAAAAACAACAGGAACAAUUCUAGAUGAGGGCUAAAGUUUCAGCAGAAGGUGGAUAGCAUGGUUAUCUUGGAAGGCUCUGCUGUUCUGCAGGCAAGCAUUAUUCUAUGUGAUGUCUUGCGAUGUACGAGAAGAGAUAUCUAUUCCUUUUUCUCAUGCAAUACUCUGUUUGGUGCCAAAUCAUUAUAGAAUUGAAUAUAUUUGCAAUUCCAUGAGGGCAUUUGUAUUGCAGAAAAUGCAAACUAUGGCAAAUCUGACCACAAACCAGUGGAUUUGCUUUAUCGGAAAUAAAUUUAAAGUACACCUGCUAAUGUCUACAAGGAUGAACCAGUUCUUCUUGGCAAUUUCAUCCAAAUCAGUGAUUUGGAGGAUUCCAAACAGGGAAUGAACAAGGCUUCGAUGAUUGCCAAUCUGGUUGCCCACAGUUUGCCCUUGCCGUUUCUUCUUUACCAUUGUACAGUGUAAACAUCUCUUAUAAUAUCAGUUGUUCCGUAAAUUGGAUGGUCUGCUAAUUUAGCAGGCAACCUUUGAAGCUUUUGAUGAGUCUCUUGCCAUGUUAUCAAUCACAGUACUUCUACAUCACUCCCUUAUCAGUGAUACAUCAUUUAUUCUACUAAAUUGGACUAUGGAACAUGUUGCAACAAUCAAGAAAUGUUGAUUCAGAAGUUGCAACAAAUUAAAGUUUAAGGACUAAAGUGUCAUCCGCCUUAUUGUUUGAGGACCAAACGUGUAAUUUAGCCUUAUAUUAACUUACAAAGCACCCAGGAUAAAAAGAAAGUACUGGAUUUUUUUUUUCCCCCUAGAGAAGCUUUCAAUGGCUUGCGAUGCAUCUGCUGUAUGCAAUAAUUUUCCUAUCUCAGCUGCUCACUAGGGCAGCCUUGCGGGGUAGCUGUAGCAGCACUCAAUUGGAGGGUCUGCUGUUUUGCAGGAAACCUUGUUCUAUCAUAUGUCUUUAAGGUACACAAGGUUACAUAAUGCCUGAUCGAAUGGCAAGUCGGAGCCUCUCUUUCCUUCUACUAUCUUUUCAACUAUCAAUAUUCUCAUGCUGACUGUAUGAAUGUCCUCAUGUUGACUGUAUGUUUCAAUCAGACAGGCCCUUAAUGUUUCAUGCUAUGCUAAAGAAGUGUUUCUCCUUCAUUUUAGUUGUCAAUGGAGGCUGUGAUGAUUGCCGGCUGGGGAUGCACCUCAGCUUCUUUUAUCCUUGCUUUUGACUCUUGGCGGAGUAAAGAAGCUGAUCGAAAUACUGGAUAUGAGAGGCAAUAUAGUCAGCUCAAACCAAACAUGUUUGUUGGAUUUUGACAAUUCUGGUGGGAUUUGAGUCUGGUUUGUUGGUUUUCUUGGUCCUUUUACGCUCCUUGACAGCCCUUUGCUUCGUUCCUUUGGGUGGUCUUGGGUGACAUGAUUCACCGGGUGCAGACAAUAAUUUUUCCUUUCUAAGCAGCUAUAAGGCCAACAUCAGCUACCUGUAGCAGUACUUAAAUUGGAAGGUCUGCGGUCUUGUAGGUAACAUUAUGCUGUUACGUCUUCAAGGUGCAUAAGAUUGCAGGACCCCUCAUAAGAUAUGAUUAAAUGGCAUAUCUGAGCCUCCAUUUUCUUCUCCUAAUUCAUUUUUUGCUAUUCAGUGGUACACUCUUCCCUCACCACCCCCCCCCCCCCCCCCNNNNNNNNNNNNNNNNNNNNCCCCCCCCCCCCCCCCCCCCCCCCCCCCCCCCCCCCCCCCCCCCCCCCCCCCCCCCCCCCCCCCCCCCCCCCCCCCCCCCCCCCCCCCCCCCCCCCCCCGCUCCUCUGGCUUUCUUGCUGCAUGUAGAAUCUAGGAUGGGUUGUUUCAUAUUUUCCUUAUCAACUUCCUGGAACCCUGCGUAAUGCUGGUUGAUGACAACUGGAUAGUUGUUCGGGGGUCUAUUUCAAAAUGGCCUAUAGUUGUGGGGAUCAUCAUACUAUUUAUCCUUCUCAAUAUAUUUGAGGGUUAUCCCAAUAUUGUGACUUAGUCCUCGAACCUAUUCCGUAAACACUUGUCCCUUAUCUUUCACAUAUUCUUGCAGUUCAUCCCUGGCCAUCACUUUGGUCCAUAUGUUCCAGGCAAGAUCUCUCAUUAGCACGCUUCAGUGUAAUUUAAUCACUAGAGGAUUGGCGCGUGAGUCGUAAUUGGGGGCAAGAAGAAGUACAGGGCAUGCUCCCUCCUUUGUAUAAGCCCCGCUGUCUACUUUCUCUUGCACCACAAAAAGCAGAAGAAAAAAAGAAAACAUUUUAAUGUUGAUAUGGGAUGGUGAUAAUAGUUUAAGAAGCUUCGGCUUCAUUUGAGGAUGCCUCCUAUGUUGAUGGCGUCAGAUUGCCAUCUUCUUGAUUCCUCUCAUAUUUCUAGAUUCUAGCUAAAGCAACUAUUAUCUUUUUUUUUAAUUACAUCUCCAUUUCUCUUCUUGAUGUCUUAUUUUUUUCUUCUUCUUCUUCUUGUUAAUUGCUGCUGUUAUUGUUAAUUUUACUAUAGUGGUGGUGGUGGUGGGUGGAGUCUAUCGUCUCCCCAUCCCCUCCCGAAAGGGAAAACCCAAAAAACUUCGCUUUUCGGUUUUGACCAAGCCUUCAUUCUUGGUUUUGGCUGUAUAUAUAUAGAGAGAGAGAGAGUUUGCGAUUAACUAUUUAACCCUUGGAUUUCAGCAGUAGGUGCAUGGCAUGGAAAUCUUGGAAGGCACUACUCUUCUACAGGCAACCAUUUUUCCAUGUGAGGCCUUGAAUGUACCAGAAGAUAUAUCUACUCCUUUUCUAAUGUAAUACUCUGUUUGGCACCAAAUCGUUGUAGAAGUGAGUAUAUUUGCAAUCCUGUGAGGGCAUUUUUGGAGCAAAAAUGCAAAUUAUGGUAGAUCCGACCACAAACCAGUGGAUCUGCCUAGAAUUGCUGAAAUCAUUUGAAACCAUUGAAAAUCAAUUCAAUCCACACCUGCUAAUGUUUCCAAGGAUUAACGAGUUCUUGUUUGCAAUUUCGUUCAAAUCAGUGAUUCAAAGGAUUCUAAACAGGGUGCAAAGGAGGCUGUGAUGGUUGCCAACCUGGGUGCCAACGGUUUGUCCAAGCCAUUUCUUCUUUGCUGAGUGUACAAAAUAAACAGCUCUUUUAGUAUCAGUUCUCCUUUGGUAAAUUGGAAGGUCUGCUAAUUUAGCAGGCAACCUUUACCACCAUAUAUUAUAAUGGUGCAAGAAUUAUAUGAUGCCUUUUGAAUAAAGUGGGGGAAAUGGUUGAGAACAGACUAAUUGAAGCUUUAGGUGGGUCUCUUGUGAUGUCAUCGACAACAAUACUGCCACAUUACUGCUACAUAUGUGAGACAUCACCAUCCACUCAACUAAAUUGGCUUGUGAGAUUUGAUUGCAACAGUCAAGGAAGUUCGAGACAGAAAAUUGUAGCAAUUAUAGUUUGAGGGCCAAAGUGUCACCCGCCUCAUAGUUUGAGAACCAAAAGUGUAAUUUAGCCUUUAUUUUAGCUAACAAACCACUGAGGGUGAAAAGACAGCGUUUUCUAGGAACUGGCUCCUGUGAUGCACCAGGUGCAGGCAAUAAUUUUCCUCUCUAUGCUAUGUGUGGCAGCACUCAAUUGGAAGGUCUGCUGUUUUGCAGGCAACCUUGUUCUGUCCUUUGUCUUUAAGGUGCAUAAGACUACAUGAUGCCUCUUGAAAUGUUCGAAUAGCAGGUCAGAGCCUCCCUUUCUUGCUUUCUUUUCAGCUAAAAUGUAUAUCGUGCUGACCGUCCAUAUGUCCUCGUGCUGGCUGAAUGCUUCAAUUGGACAGACCCUUAAUGUCUUGUGCAAUGGUAAGGAAAUAUUUCUCCUUCAUUUUACUUGCCAAAGAAUGCUGUGAUGAUUGCCAAUUGGGAAGGCACGUCAACUUAUUUUAUCAUGCCUUUUGACUCUCGGCAGAGCACAAAAGCUGAUUGAAAUACUAGAUUUAAGAGGCAAUAUAGUCAGGUCAAACCAAAGAUCUUGAUUGGGUUUUGAUAAUUCGAGUGGCAUCUGAAUCUUGUUUGUUGGUUAGCUUGGUGCUUCUACACCCCUUGAGUGCCCGUCACACACUUGUAUGCUGAUUCAGAUGUGGAUAUCCAAGCAUACAUCUCUCUUUCUCUCUCUCUCUUUGUCACGCCCCAGUUUCUUGGAGCGCCACCCAUUCUAGAACUACUCUAGCCGUAGGUUUGCUCAACCCUCUUAACCUUUUGGGCUUAGCCGCUGCUCAAAAUGGUAUUGCUAGGUUAAGAGGUUUAUCUCUAUAAUACCUUAUAUAUAGGACUUCCAAAUCCUAGGGGUGUCACAUUCUCCUCUCGGUUACCUGCUUCCCUCUUUUAGGCUCUGACGUCCUCUCAGGUUCAAACACACUCACAAGCACCGCCGAUGUGAGACUCGUCUUCCUAGCCUUAGAUAACCUUGUGGGGAGCCGCGCUCCACCCACAAUGGCCGUCAGUCGGAGAGCCGUGCUUUUGCCCGUUUUAUGACCCUGGCUCAGCCAAGGAUCAUCUCACACUUAUGGUUGGUGAUUGGCUUUGAUACCAACUGACGCCUCGCUUCCCAGAGGGGUCAUCCAUCCAAGAACUACUCUAGCCUUAGGCUUGCUCAAUCCUCUUAAUCUCUUAGGCCUAGUCACUGCUCAAAAUGCUAUAGCCGGGUUAAGAGGUUUAGCCCUACUAUAUCUUAUAUAUAAAACUAUUCCAAAUCCCGGGAGUCUCCCUCCCCCUCUCCCCCUCCCACCCCCCCCUCCUGAUUGUCUCAUGCCCUAAUGACCAUUUAUAGUCAUAAUCUAUUUCAAGUAAUUUUGGAUUCGAUCAAAUAUCAUAUUUCUAUUUGUUAUAUAAAAUUAUGUGCAAGGCAUGUGAUCAAAACAGUAGCUCAAUUAGUAACUUCACCUGAACAGAGGGGUUCACUAAACUAUUUGAUAAAGUUUUUGCGGUUUUGUUGCCAAAAAGUAAAAGUUUAGGCUCCUGUUUGCAAAAGUGUUAAAGUGCAGAGUACUAAUUUUUGAUGUUUAUAUAUCUAAAAUCAUUUUCUUAAAAUGUAACUGGAAAUUGCCAAGCAGCUCUGGACUGUCUGCUCUUCUGCAGGCUACAGAGCUGCAGCCAUUAUUCCAGAAAUGUUGUGGCGGCGGCGGCUGCAGCUGCAGUUGGUGAUCAUUCAUAAUGAAGAUGAGGAUGAUGAUUAUAACCUUUAAAGAGGCUUCUACCGCAUCUAAAGAGGCCUCCUAUGUCGAUGGCAUCUGAUUGUCAUAUUCUGAUACGGUGAUACCUCUCGUAUUUCUCAAUCCUCGCUUAACUAUCAUCAAUUUUUUUUUCUACUUCUCCAUUUCUCUUCAUGAUGACUUGUUGUUGUUGCUGCAGCUGAUGGUGUUCUUGUUAUUGUUGCUGUUGUUAUUAUUAUUGUUAUUGAGGUCGUGGGGUUGGAGGUGGGUGGAGUCUGAAUGUCUCCCCGCCCCUUCCUGAAAGCCGAAACUUAGAAAACUUCGCUUUGCUGGGUUGACUAAGCCUUCAUUCUUGGUUCUGGUUAUAUAUAUCUAUAUAUAUAUAGAUAUAGAUAUAGAUAUAUAGAAACAGCUUGUAUUUGGGGGACAAAAAGGACAAAACAAACAGCAAUGAAACCAAAUGAGGCGUUAAGUUUACAGUAGUAGUUGCAUGGCAUGGUAAUUUGGAAGGCUCUGCUUUUCCGCAAGCAAUCAUUUUUCCAUGUCUUUUCUUUUUUAUACUUGGUGAAAUGGUUGAGAACAAACUGAUUGAAGCUUUUGGUUGUCUCUUGCGAUGUCAUCAACCACAAUGCUGCCACAUUACUGCUAUAUUAAUGAGACAUCACCAUUCACUUAACCAAAUUGGCCUGUGAGACUUGAUCGCAACAAUCAAGAAAGUACGAGCUACAAAUUGCGGCUAUUAUUGUUUGGGGACCAAAGUGUCACCUGCCUCAUAGUUUGAGGACCAAAAGUGUAAUUUAGCUUUAUUUUAUCUAUCAACCCUUGGAACAGGCAUUAAUUUUCCUAUCUCAGCACUCUGUUGGAAGGUCUGCUGUUUUGCAGGCAACCUUGUUCUGUCAUUUGUGAUGCCUCUUGAUGUGAACGAAUGGCAGGUCGGAGCCUCUCUGUCCUUCUACUUUCUUUUCACUGUUGAUAUUUCUCAUGCUGACCGUCCAUAUGUCCUCAAUCCUCUUGCUGACUGUAUGCUUCAACCGGAAGGCCCUUACUGUUUCAUGCAAUAUUAAGGAAGUGUUUUUCCUUCGUUGUACUUGUCAAAGGAGGCUGUGAUGAUUGCCACUUGGGAAUGCACCUCAACUUCUUUAAUCCUUGCUUUGGAUUCUCGGCGUAGUGUAGAAGCUGACCAAAAUACUGGGUAUAAGAGGCAAUAUAGUCAACUCAAACCUGAGACCUUGGUUGGGUUUUGACAGUUCGGGUGGGAUUUGAAUCUUUUUUUCUUUUUUUUUUUAAUUUUAUAUUUUAGUCCUUUUACACCCCUUGAGAGGCCUUUACGUGGUUCAUUUGUGGGAUAGACAGCAUCUCAGUGGAUGGCUUUUGGCUGACAUGAUCACCUGGUGUAGGCUAUAAUUUUUCCUUUCUCAGCAGCUCAUAUAACCAACAUUAAGUACCUGUAGCAGGACUUAAAUUGGAAGGUCUACUGUCUUGGAUGCAACAUUUUGCUGUCGUGUCUUUAAGGUGCAGAAGAUUGCAAGAUCCCUUGCGAGAUGAUUAAGUGGCAAAUCUGAGCCUCCAUUUUCUUCUCCUACUUUCUUUUAGCUAUUAGGAUUUGGUGGUACAUUAUUUAUUUUUCCCAUUUUUUCUUUUCCUCCUCUGGCCUUCUUACUGCAUGUAGAACCUAGGUGGGUUGUUUUCAAAUAUUCCUUAUCUACUACCUGAAAUGUGACACUCUACUUCAUGCUGGUUGAUGCUAAAUCAUUUAUCCUGUAUGUCUUCAGAUUUAGGCAACUUGUUAGUCUUUUAGAUUUUGAAAAGAACUAAAAACAGAUAAAGAUUCGGAUGUUUGGCAUGUAUAUCUGUAUAUUUGCAUGCUGAUUCAAAUGUGGGUAUCCAGCAUACUUGUAUAUCUACUUUUCCAUUUCUCUUCUUGAUGCCUUGUUGUUGUUGCUGCUGCUGCUGUUGUUAUUCUUGUUAUUAUUAUUAUUAUUACUAUUGUUAUUGUUAUUGUGGUCGCAAUGGUGGUGGUAGAGGUGGGGUGGAGUAUCGUCUCUCCGCCCCUUCCUGAUGGGGGAAACCCACAAAAAUUUGCUUUUCGGGUUGACCAAGCCUUCAUUCUUGGUUCUGGUUCUAUAUAUAUAUAUAUACAUACAAACUGUUUGUAUAUAGAGGAAAAAAGAAAAAGAAAAAAGCAACGAAACCAAAUGAAGCCUUAUUAAGGUUUCAGUGGAAGGUGCAUGGCAUGGCAAUUUUGGAAGGCUCUGCUUUUCUGCGAGCAACCAGUUGUCCAUGUGUUGCCUUGCUUAGAUUUGCCGAAAUGGCUGAGAGCAAACAAAUUGAAGCUUUCGAUGGGUCUCUUGGUUGUCAUCAACCACAAUACUGCUGCAUUACUGCUACUUUAGUGAGACCACCAUUUACUCAACAAAAUUGGCCUAUGAGACGAUUGCUACAAUCAAGAAAUUUUCGAGCCAGAAACUGCAAGUAUUAUAGUUUUGAGGACCAAAGUGUCAUCUGCCUCAUAGUUUGAGCACCAAAGUGCAAUUUAACCUUAUUUUAUCAAACGAACCAAGGAACAGGCAAUAAUUGUCCCAUCUCACCUGCCUGUGGCAGUACUCAAUUGGAACUCAAUUGGAAGGUCUGUUGUUUUGCAGGCAACCUUGUUCCAUCAUUUAUCUUAAAGGUGCAUAAGAAUACACGAUGCCUCUUGAUAUGAUUGAAUGGCAGGUCAGAGCCAACUUCUUUCAUCCUCUCUUUUGUUAUACUUGUCAAAGGAGGCUGUGAUGAUUGCCACUGGGGAAUGCACCUCAGCUUCUUUAGUCCUUGCUUUUGAUUCUUGUUGGAGUGCAGAAGCUGACCAAAAUACUAGGUAUAAGAGAGUCAACUCAAACCUGAGACCUUGGUUGGGUUUUGACAGUUCAGGUGGGAUUUGAAUCUGGUUUUUUUUGGUUAUUUUGGUUCUUUUACACCCCUUGAGACGCCUUUGCAUGGUUCAUUUGUUGGAUAGACAGCAUCUCAGUGGAUGGCUUUUGGCUGACAUGAUCACCUGGUGCAGGCUAUAAUUUUUCCUUUCUCAGCAGCUCAUAUAUGACCAACAUUAGGUACCUGUAGCAGGACUUAAAUUGGAAGGUCCACUGUCUUGGAUGCAACCUUUUGCUGUCGUGUCUUUAAGGUGCAGAAAAUUACAAGAUCCCUUGCGAGAUGAUUAAGCGGCAUAUCUGAGCCUCCGUUUUCUUCUCCUACUUUCUUUUUAGCUAUUAGGAUUUGGUGCUACAUUCUUUAUUUUUCCUUUUUUUUCUUUUCCUCCUCUGACCUUCUUACUGCAUGUAGAACCUAGGUGGGUUGUUUUCAAAUAUUCCUUAUCUACUUCCUGAAACGUGACACCAUACUUCAUGCUGGUUGAUGCUAAAUCAUUUAUCCUGUAUGUCUUCAGAUCUAAGGCAACGUGUUAGUCUUUCAGAUUUUGAAAAGAACUAAAAACGGAUUAAGAUUCGGAUGUUGGGCAUAUAUAUCUGUAUACUUCUAUGCUAAUUCAAAUGUGGGUAUCCAACAUACAUGUAUAUCUACUUUUCCAUUUCUCUUCUUGAUGCCUUGUUGUUGAUGCUGCUGCUGCUGUUGUUAUUAUUAUUAUUAUUUUUGUUAUUAUUAUGGUCGCAGUGGUGGUGGUGGAGGUGGGUGGAGUCUAUCGUCUCUCCACCCCUUCCUAGGGAAACCCACAAAACUUUGCUUUUUGGGGUUGACCAAGCCUUCAUUCUUGGUUCUGGUUAUAUACAUACAUACAAACAUUUUGUAUAUAGAGGAAAAAAGAAAAAGAAAGGAAAAAGAAAGCAACAAUAACAACGAUACCAAAUGAAGCCUUAAGGUUUCAGUAGUAGGUGCAUGGCAUGGUUAUUUUGGAAGGUUCUGAUUUUCUGAGAGCAACCAAUUUUCCAUGUGUUGUUUUGCUUAGACUUGCCGAAAUGGCUGAGAACAAACAAAUUGAAGCUUUCGCUGGGUAUCUUGGGAUGUCAUCAACCAUAAUACUGCUAUGGUAGUGAGACAUCACCAUUUACUCGACCAAAUUGGCCUGCGAGAUGAUUGCAAGUUUUGCAACAAUCAAGAAAGUUUGAGCCAGAAAUUGCCAGUAUUAUAUUUUUGAGGACCAAAUUGUCAUCUGCCUCAUAGUUUGAGCACCAAAAGUGAAAUUUAGCCUCAUUUUGUCUAACAAACCACAGAACAGGCAAUAAUUUUCCUAUUUCACCUACCUGUGGCAGCACUCAAUUGGAACUCAAUUGAAUGGUCUGCUGUUUUGCAGGCAACCUUGUUCCAUCAUUUAUCUUAAAGGUGCAUAAGAAUACAUGAUGCCUCUUGAUAUGAUCGGAUGGCAGGUCAGAGCCUCUCUUUCCUUGUGCUUUCCUUUCAGCUAUUAAUAUUUCUCAUGCUGACUGUUCAUAUGUCCUCAUUCUGACCGUAUGCUUCAAUCAGACUGGCGCUUAAUGUUUCAUUCAAUCUUAAGGAACUGUUUCUCAUUCAUUUUACUUGUCAAAGGAGGCUGUGAUGAUUGCCAGUUGGGAAUGCACCUCAACUUCUUUUAUCCUCUCUAUUGAUUCUCGGCGGUGUAAAAACUGAUCGAAAUACGGGAUAUAAGAGCCAAUAUAGUCAGCUCAAUCCUUAGAUCCUGAUUGUGUUUUUAUAAUUCGGGUGGGAUUUGAAUCCAGUUUGUUGGUUAGUUUUGUCAUUUUGCUUCCCUUGAGAGCCUCUCGCUUCGUUAAUUCGUGGGAUAGACAGCAUCUCAGUGGGUGGCUUUUGGCUGACAUGAUUCACCGGGUGCAGGCAAUAAUUAUUCCUUUCUCAGCAGCUCAUCAGGCCAACAGUAGCUCCUGUAGCAGUAGUUAAAUUGGAAGGUCUGCUGUCUUGCAGGCAACCUUAUGCUGUUCAUAUCUUUAAGGUGCAUAAGAUUACAAGAUCCCGAUCCCUCAUGAGGUGAUUGAAUGGCAUAUCUGAGCCUCCAUUUUAUUCUCCUAAUUCCUUCUUAGUUAUUAAGAUUUAGUGGUACAUUCAUUUUUUUCGUAGCUAUUAAGAUUUAAUAGUACAUUCAGUUUUUUCUGUUUUAUUUUUAAUUUUUCAUCCUCUGGCUUUCUUACUGCAUGUAGAAUCUAGGAUGGGUUGUUUCAAAUAUUCCUUAUCAACCCCGUGAAACCCUACUUUAUGCUGGUAGAUGAUGACUGGAUAGAAGUUUGGGUGUCUAUUUCAAAAUGGUCUACAGUUGAGGGAAUGUUCAUCCUAUUUAUCCUUCUCAAUAUACCUGAUGGUUAAAAUGUAUUGAUAGUCCGUCUUAUCCCAAUACUAUCCCCAUAUUGUGACUUAGUCCUUGAACCUUUUCCAUAAACGCUCCUCUCUCACCUUUCCUUUAUUCUUGGAAUUUCAUCCCUGCCGUCUUUUUGCUCCAUAUGUUGCAAGCAAAAUCUCUCGUUAGAACUCUGCAUUGUAAUUUAAUCACUAGAGAGGAUUGGCAGGCGCGUGAUCAGUAAUUGGAGGUAGCUCUGGAUGGUCUGCGCUUCUGCAGGCAACCUAGCUUGCAACCAUUUAUCCGGUCAUGGUUGGGGCAGAGGAGGAGGUGGUGGUAGUGGUAAGGAUUGGAUAUAUGUGGGUUCAUAUGAUCCUCUUCUCUGAUUAUGGUAUCAUCAUUGUUAUCUUCUUGGCACUUGCUUAUUCUCUUGAUCGAAGUUCCUGUAAAGGAUAUCUUUUAUCAUUUAUUUCUAUUUCGCAAUUCCUGUUCCUUGAUGUGUUUCAGUAUUUGUGGAAGUUUUUGCUGAUCCUCUUCAAGAUAGGUGGAAUAACCACUUUUGUGGAGUAAAGCUUCUCCCUGCGGCCUUCUGAGAUGGGUACCCAUGAAAUUUUGUGCCUCAGUGUUGAUGAAUGGCUAAAAAUCAAGCUUUCUGAUUUUGAUUGUGCAUUCUUCAUAUGGGUUUACAUCAAGUUGGUCGGUUAGCUCGGUCCAUUGACACCUCUAAUCUGAGCCGUGCUUCAUUCAUUCGUGGGAUGGAUGACAUCGCAGUUGGUGGUGCAUGUCUGAUGUGGUGCACCGGGUGCAGGCCAUAAUUUCUCCUAUCUCUGCAGCCCAUAAGGGCGUCGUUUUGGGGUUCACGUAGCAAUACUCAAUUGGAAGGUCUGCAUUCUUGCAGGCAACCUUACAAAGUCAUUUGUCUUUAAGGUGCGUAAGACUACAUGAUGCCUCAUGAUAUGAUUGAAUGGCAGAUCUGAGCCUCCCUUUUCUUCUUGUUUCUUUUCAGCUAUUAAGAUCUAUUCUAGUUAUUUUCUUCUUCUCUGUGUUUGCUUCUGCAUGGAGAAGCUAGAUCAUCAAUUCCUAUUCCCUCUACUUUUCAGUGGUUGAUGAAGAUCAGAUUGAGUUGGUGACUUGGUCGGCCUAUUUCAAAAUGGCCUAUGGUUGAUGGGUAUUCAUACAUUUUACCUUCUUAAUAUGGGUGGGAAUAAAAAUCAGAUAUUAUUUUUCAUAUGAGGCUGGUGUUAUUGUUAACUUUUUAUGAGGGGUGAGAAGUAUUUAUAGUCCCUGUACUAUUCCGAUAUUGCAACUUUGUCCAAACUCCAUCCAUGACCUUCACUUUGGCACAAGUGUAGUCAAUAGUUUCCUGUUAGACCUCUGCAGUGUAAUUCAACCACUAGAGACGUUCCAAGUGUGAUCUAGCAAUGCUGAGGCAGCUAUGGACGGUCUGCCUUUCUGCAGGCAACCUAGCUGGACCCCUUAAAUGUAACCAUGAUCAGCCAUGAAGAUAUAGCAUGCCUGUGCAGCUUCAUCUUUAAGACUCUUCCUCUGUUGAAAGUUUGGAGUGCCGUCUUCGUGAUACAUUUGUUCUCUUGAUCCUGUUAAGAAUGUUAGUCCCUUAUUUGUUACUUGAGCGUUUUGGGUUGGUUCAAGACCUUUGGCAUAUCCAAGUUCUAGUGAGGGAUAUUUUUAUCUUUACUUUUUUCUGUUAUUCCAUCUCUCCUUUGUGAUGCAUUUGAUUAUUUGGAGAAGGCGGUAAUGAUUUCUAGCGUGUUGCACAUGAGUAUUCUUCCAAAAUGAACGAUGCAUCUCCCCCAAGCUUCCUGAGACUCGAAGUUUGAAACCCGUGAAACACUGCUUUUAGGUUUCAAAUCUUGGAAGGCUCUGCUCUUCAGCAGGCAACCAGUUUUGCGUUCAGGUUUCAACCAGUUUUUUUUUUGAAGUUUUUCUUUUCUUUUUUUUUUUUUUUUUUUU
rnacentral:lncRNA from 1 species